AGGAGGGUGGCCAGGGUUGUGACCAUAAUGUGGUGGCUUCUCUCCCUUAGGUGGCUUGCCAACUGGGGUUGGUGGCUUGUGUUCAGGAAGUGGUUUCUCUCCCUUGGGAGGUUUACCAAUUGGGGUUGGUGGCUUGUGUUCUGGGAGUGGUUUCUCUCCCUUGGGAGGUUUAGUGGGUGACUUGUGUUCUGGAGGUGGCUUCUCCACCGGAGGCUUGUGCUCCGGUGGUGGCUUCUCCACCGGAGGCUUGUGCUCCGGUGGUGGCUUCUUGAUUGGAGGGGGCUUGGGGUAAUCAGCAAGAGAUGGGAUGGUGAGAACCACCACUCCAAGGAACAACACUAGCAAGUAUGUGGGAGACAUUUCUGAGUUUGAGCUGAUCAGAUGAUGCAAAACUAGAAGAAUUACGGGACCUUUUAUAGCAAGUAUCUCCCAAUACCCACAUGACACGUGUUACUAUGACCAUAAAUAUUAUAGGGUCCAUUUGUGCCCUACCGGGUUGAAAACUUGGACGCUUGGCCGAGGACACACCUGACUAUGGAGGACUAUUGACGUGUGAUCACAGCUUUUGGAUUUUUCUUCCUGUGCAGCUGUCUAGCGGUUGGCAUUAUUUUCUUAAUCUUAAAUAAAGGCAUAGUUAUAGAGUUGUUUAAUCUCUAAAUGGGAUUUUAUAUAUCUUCAGAUAGCCAUUAAUAUAUUUGAUGAAGAAAGACAAGUGCAUACAACAUGUAUACGGCUUGCUUCAAUCGAGUACAUUUAUGAUCAGUUUUCCUGUGCAAGUAAACCAGUUUUUUGUUCCACAACUAUUUUGGAAUCUUGUUUAUCAGUUUCUAUCAUUAUAAUGUCACAUAGGCUGCAAACUUGGGCACCCAAAGAUCUAGGUGGGCAAAUUUGUUUCAGACUUUCAAUGGUGGAUUCAGUAAUUGUUAAAAGGUGUUUCUUCAUUAAGGAAAGAGUCCGGUAAAAAUAUUGUUAAAAGGUGUCAUAGAAACUAUAAUAAAUAAAUAACUUCUUUUCCCCAUGGGUGGUGUUUCUUCUGGGGAUCAGUGACUGGUUAGGGUCACCCAAAAUGAGUCCAGAUUAAAAUUGGUUCGAGUCAAAGCAGUCUCUUUUGUCCAGAAAUCAACUAUUUUGCGCAUUGAAUGAAUCGAUAAAGAAAAAAUGAAAGCCAAAUCACACCUCCCCUGCAAAACCUAAACCCCGGUUGCUAACUUUCUAUGUUUCAGUCCUAUUCAUAUAGGAAUAUUGGUUCAAGUUUGAGAAAAAUGGCAACUUACCUAGGGUUUACUUGGUUUUGGUUUGCGACUAUUUACGCAACCAACCAUGAGUUUGACUUUAACGUCAUGGGUUGAAGCCUCCUACAAUCAUGUAUGAUAGUUCAAAGCUCGUGGAAGAAAUUAUACAGGAAGGAAGAAACCUCCAAAGCUAGCUCCAAAAGAGAAUUAUCACAUCGAUAGCUCCAGAGAUUCCCAAGGGAACUGAAUCAAAGACAAGUUCCUCACUUUUUCUUCUUUUGAGGCCAAAUAUGAACCAAGGAUCACACGACCUCAUUCAACUUCAUAAGUUUGAUUUCAUGCAGUUGAACACUGGGUGAAGGCCAUGACAAGAAUUGAUUAAAAAAUUCUACCACUCUUUUAAGUAAUGGAAGAUUAUUAUCUCUGAUUGGCACCACAACAGCACAUGCUGCUAGAUCUUUCUAGACACUCCAUGCAAUGAAAGCACAAUGGAUCUUGUAAUGAUAGAAACUAAGCCAUGCUACAGUACUAGAUGAGGGGGUAAAACUAGUAGACAUCUUUCUAGACACUCCAUGCAAUGAAAGCACAAUGGAUCUUGUAAUGAUAGAAACUAAGCCAUGCUACAGUACUAGAUGAGGUGGUAAAACUAGUAGACAUGGCUGGCAGUUGAUUACUACUCAAAAAGUACUCUUUUAUAGCUUGAAACUAACUGUUUUAAACACUUUUGAGUAGUAGUUAAUACCUUUUAACUUAAUUGGCACAUUAAGGAACCUAGCAAGGGUUACUAAUCAACAUUUGGCAAGUUUUGAUGUUUUUGGUAGCUAUUUGAUCAUUGAAACAAGCCAAGAAUGAGGGGGAAUUUUGUGAAGUCCAUGGCAAUGCAAGUUAAAGCUCAAAUACAUGAAGAAUCCAAGCUUUGGAGCACUUCAUAGCCCUUUGCCAAGCCAAUCAAAGAUGCAAGGAAGAAAACCAAAGGAAGAAAUCCAACAAUCAGCAUUUUGGCAUGGCUAUGUGAAAUUUCGCACACCAUGCGAAACCACAAGAGGCAGCCAAAGAAUUUCGCAUGGUAUGCGAAAUCUUCUUGUGCACUGACUCUGUUAGAUUUUUAUCUUCAGAUAUUUUGUGUAAUUUCCUAGUUUCUCCUUGUAACCAACUUAGAUAUUUUCUUUUAUAUCUUUUUUUAUAUUUUUUAGGUAACAUCAUAUAUAAGAGGAGAGACAUAAGGAGGAUAUGGAUGUUUUUCAUAGAACACUUGUAAAUUUUUGGUAGUAAGAAAUAUACAAAGCUUUUUGCUCUGCCUUACCUUCUCAAGGGAUGAGUGGCUAGGUUUUCUUGGAGUGAGGGAAGCUAGGUGAAGGACCUGAAUGCAAAGGUGGGAGUUUUCCUUACUUUAAAUGAAAGUAGUUGUUAAACAUUAAUGGUUUUUAUUUUAAGGUUUAGCUUUAAAUCCCUGAAAAACACCUUGAAUGGCCAAUACUUGGUAAGCUUUUUAGAUUCUAUGGAUGCUUAUUGCUAGAUCCAUGGAUGUCUAUUAGUUAUCAUUUACGAGCCAUUGGAAGGUGAUUCAAGGUGAGGGUCUUUAGUGUUUGAAGCCAUUAAUGGGAAGCAAUUACCAUUUUUUCAUGAAUCCUUUGGAUCAAAUCUUAAUUGCUAAAUAUAAAACCGGUUUCGAGAGAUAACCACCAUCCUUUAUGUUAUUAUCCCCAACGCGAGGAGAAGAUCCGAAAUCUUCCUUUUUAUCUAAGGAACCCGAUCCUAGUGACCUAAAGCUCCAAGAUACCUUUUCUUUGUAGUUAACUUCAUUUAUUGUUUUUGCUUAACUUAAAAUCAAUCUUUGCAACCACAAUUCCAUUUUCUUUAAAAGCUAAUUUUUAUAAGGAAAAACACCAUUUUAUUUCCUUCACUAAGUCAACUGUACGAUGAAAACCCAUCCCUGUGGACGAUCCUAGAGCCACUAUACUAUGUUAGCUAUGCUACCCUAGUGUGAGGUGAUUUAGGUUUUAUAAAUUUUUUUGAUAACACCCAUCUGAGCCAGAAUCAAAUGGCACGACUGAACCAGGGACGAAUCAAAUGACGCCGCUACCAAGGAUGGUGCCAAAGUACAUUGACAUGACUUUUGGUGAACACUUGUGAUCUUCACCACAAGUUUGGUGAUUUUUCUUUUACUAAUUUUUUUUAUUUUAGCUUAUCUUUUAUUUAGUUUUUAGUUAACCUUAAAUUUUUCCUAGAAUUGUAUUUCUUUUGUUUUCUUUGUUUUUGUUUCAGUGAUCUUUAGUUGUGCAUGCCCUAUUGGAUAAGAGAUAUUGAGGGAAUACUUGUGAAGAUUGAAACUCCUCGAGAAACUGAGUUAGAAGUGUGCUUGAACAUCAUGGAUGUUCCACCUGAAGACCAGAAUAGCCAACAUGGUUAAGAGGAUAAUUUCAACACAUACCGAUCCAUGAGGAACCGCAUACAUCCACCUUGUAUGAGUGCACCGUCAGGCAUAAUGCCUCCCACUGAGCAGCUAGUAAUCUGACCUCACAUUGUGCCACUCCUACCUACUUUCCAUGGGAUGGAGAGUGAGAAUCCCUACUCGCAUAUUAAGGAAUUCGAGGAGGUUUGUAAUACAUUCCAAGAAGGAGGAGCUUCAAUUGACUUGAUGAGGCUCAAGCUAUUUCCUUUCACUUUGAAGGAUAAGGCCAAGAUUUGGCUUAAUUCUUUAAGGCCAAGAAGUAUCCAAACUUGGAUUGAUUUGUAAGCCGAGUUUCUUAAGAAGUUCUUCCCUACCCAUAGGACCAAUGGUUUGAAAAGGCAAAAUUUGAACUUCUCAGUUAAAGAGAAUGAGAAAUUCUAUGAGUGUUGGGAGAGCUACAUGGAAGCUAUUAACGUUUGUCCUCACCAUGGCUUUGACACAUGGCUCUUAGUGAGCUAUUUUUACAAUGGUAUGUCUUCUUCAAUGAAGCAACUCCUAGAAACUAUGUGUGGAGGAGACUUCAUGAGUAAGAAUCCGGAGGAAGCCAUGGACUUUUUGAGUUAUGUGGCUGAAGUUUCAAGAGGAUGGGAUGAACCAAAUGCUAGAGAGGUGGGAAGAAUGAAGUCUCAACCUAAUGCUAAGGGUGAGAUGUAUGUUUUGAAUGAAGACAUUGACAUGAAAGCAAAGGUUGCAGCUAUGGCAAGGAGAUUGGAAGAGCUAGAAAUGAAGAACAUACAAAAAGUGCAAGCCAUUUCUGAGACAUCAAUGAAAGCUAUGCCUUGUUCCAUUUGUCAAUCUUAUAAGCACCUAGUGGAGGAGUGUCCUACAAUUCCAGCAGUGAGAGAGAUGUUUGGUGAUCAAGCAAAUGUUAUUGAUCAAUUCAAGCCUAAUAACAAUGCUUCAUAUGGCAACACCUACAAUUCAAAUUGGAGGAACCAUUCAAAUUUCUCUUGGAAACGAAAGCCACCUCAAUACACACAACCUACUCAAGCACCUUAGCAAUCCUCGAAUCUUGAACAAGCUAUUGUGAACCUUAGCAAGGUUGUGGGAGACUUUGUGGGAGAUCAGAAGUCCAUCAAUGCUCAACUGAAUCGGAGAAUUGACAGUGUGGAGAGUACAUUGAACAAAAGGAUGGAUGAGAUGUAAAAUGAUCUGUCUCAAAAGAUAGACAAUGUCCAAUACGUAAUCUCAAGGCUUACCAACCUCAACACAGUGUAAGAGAAAGGAAAGUUUCCUUCUCAACCUCAUCAAAAUCCUAAGGGUAUCCAUGAAGUAGAGGCUCAAGAGGGAGAAUCUUCAAAGGUGAGGGAAGUCAAAGUAGUUAUCACCUUGAAGAGUGGUAAAGAGGUUGAUCAACCCACAUCCAAGCCAAAGCAUAAUGAAGAGAGUGUAGCAGAAAAAGAAAAGAGAGGAAAAUAAAGGAAUUAGAAUAGAGAAAAAUACAAAGAAAGAUGACCAUGAGUCUAGUGUGGAUGAAGAGCCCGAGAGGAUGGUGAUCAAGGAAGAUAUGAUGAAGAAACACAUGCCUCCACCUUUCCCCUAAGCUUUGCAUGACAAAAAAAGAACCAAUAAUACAUCAGAAAAUUUUGAAGUAUUGAGGCAAGUGAAGGUCAAUAUCCCUUUGCUAGACAUGAUCAAACAAGUGUCGACAUAUGAAAAAUUCUUGAAGGACUUGUGCACUGUAAAGAGAGGGUUGAAUGUGAACAAGAAAGCUUUAUUGACCGAGCAAGUGAGUUCCAUCAUACAGUGCAAGUCCUAGUGAAGUACAAAGAUCCGGGUUGCCGUACCAUCUCAGUGAGUAUUGGAAGGACUUGUGUGGAGAAAGCUUUGUUGGACUUGGGAGCAAGUGUGAAUUUGCUAUCCUACUCUGUCUAUAAGCAGUUGGGAUUUGGAGAGUUGAAGCCAAUAUCCAUCACUCUAUCUCUAGCGGAUAGAUCAAUGAAGAUUCCAAGAGGGAUGAUCGAAGAUGUCCUGGUUCAAGUUAACAAAUUCUACUAUCCAGUAGAUUUUGUUGUUCUUGAUAUGGAUCCGGUUGUCAAAUGAACUAAUUAUGUUCCUAUCAUACUUGGAAGACCCUUCCUAGCUACAUCAAAUGCAAUCAUCAAUUGUAGGAAUGGAGUCAUGCAACUCACAUUUGUCAACAUGACAUUAGAGCUCAACAUCUUCCAUUUGUACAAGAAGCAUAUCCAUCAGGAGGAAAAAGAAGGUCUAGAGGAAGUGUGAAUGAUUGACACUUUAGUGGAAGAGCAUUGUGAUCGAGAAUGCAAAAAGAUUUAGUUGAGAAUUUUGGGGAUCUUGAUGAAAGGUUACUUGAACCCUCAGAUUUGCUUGCUACCCUACUCCAUUGGAAGAGAAGAGAAGAAAUUCUACCCUUAUUCAAUGAGGAGGAGACGCAAAGAGCUGCAAAGGAGAAACCCCCAAAACUUAUUCUUAAGCCACUACCCACAGAGUUGAAGUAUGUAUACUUGGAAGAAGACAAGAAGUGCCCUAUUGUUAUAUCUUCAACUCUUACCAUUCAUCAGGAGGAUUGUCUACUUGAAGUCCUUAGAAGAUGUAAGAAGACAAUAAGGUGGCUAAUUUCUUAUUUGAAAGGGAUCAGCCCUUUAGUCUGCACCCAUCAUAUUUACAUGGAGGAUGAAGCUAAGCUAAUUCAUCAACCUCAGAGAAGGUUGAACCCUCACAUGCAAGAGGUGGUUCGAGCUGAAGUUCUGAAGCUACUUCAGACCAGUAUUAUUUACCCCAUAUCAAAUAGCCCAUGGGUGAGUCCUACUCAAGUUGCGCCAAAGAAGUCUGGGAUCAUGGUGGUGCAAAAUGAUAAGGGAGAAGAUGUCUCUACACGCCUCACUACAGGUUGGAGGGUGUGUAUCAAUUACAGGAGGUUGAAUGCAGUGAUAAGAAAGGACCAUUUCUCAUUGCCCUUUAUUGAUCAGGUGCUUGAGAGGGUCUCUGGGCUUUUUUUUUUAUUGUUUCUUGGAUGGCUACUCCGGGUACUUUCAGAUAGAAAUUGAUGUUGAAAACCAAGAUAAGACCAUUUUCACAUGCCCAUUUGGAACCUAUGCAUAAAGGAGAAUGCCUUUCGGCUUAUGCAAUGCACCCGCAACUUUCCAAAGAUGCAUGUUAAGCAUUUUCAGUGAUAUGGUGGAGCGUAUUAUGGAAGUCUUUAUGGAUGAUAUCACCAUUUAUGGAAGUGCAUUUGAUGAAUGCUUGGUCAACUUAGAAGCUGUUCUGAACCGAUACAUUGAGAAAGACUUAGUGCUUAACUGGGAGAAGUGCCAUUUCAUGGUACACCAAGGGAUUGUCCUUGGGCACAUUAUCUCCAAGCAAGGCAUUGAAGUUGACAAAGCAAAGGUUGAACUCAUUGUUAAGUUGCCAUCCUCAACAAAUGUCAAAGGAGUAAGGCAAUUCUUUGGCCAUGUCGGGUUCUAUAGGAGGUUUAUCAAGGAUUUCUCUAAGCUUGCAAGGCCUCUUUGUGAAAUAUUGGUGAAUGAUGUUAAAUUCAUAUGGGAUGAUGGAUUUGAAAGGAGUUUUGAAGAAUUGAAGCUAUUUUUGACAACCGUACCAAUAGUGAGGGCUCCCAACUGGCAACUGCCCUUUGAAGUAAUGUGUGAUGUCAAUGAUUUUGCUAUAGGAUUUUUUCUUGGGCAAAGAGAAAAUGGAAAACCUUAUGUGAUCUACUAUGCGAGGAAGGCAUUGAAUGAGGCACAAAGAAACUACACAACCACCGAGAAAGAAUUGUUAGCUGUAGUUUUUGCCUUGGAUAAGUUUCGCGCUUACUUGGUGGGGUCCUUCAUCAUGGUUUUUACUGAUCACUUUGCUUUGAAGUAUCUGUUGACUAAGCAAGAUGCUAAAGCAAGGCUGAUUAGAUGGAUUCUCUUACUUCAAGAGUUCAAUCUCCAUAUCAAAGAUAAGAAAGGAGUGGAGAAUGUGGUAGCAGACCACAUUUCAAGGCUAGCUAUCGCACAUAAUUCCCAUGCUUUGCCCAUUAAUGACGAUUUUCUAGAGGGGUCUCUCAUGUUGGUGGAAGUUGUCCCUUGGUACGCUCACAUUGCUAACUACCUGGUCACGGGAAAAGUUCCAAGUGAGUGGAAAGCACAAGAUAAGAAGCACUUCUUUGCAAAAAUUCAUGCCUACUAUUGGGAAGAGCCAUUUCUAUUCAAGUAUUGUAUGGAUCAGAUAAUAAGGAAGUGCGUUCCUGAAGAAGAGCAACAGGGGAUCCUUAGUCAUUACCAUGAAAAUGCAUGUGGAGGCCACUUUGCUUAUCAAAAGACAGCCAUGAGGGUGUUGCAAUCGGGUUUCUGUUGGCCAUCACUUUUCAAAGAUGCCCACACCAUGUGCAAGAGUUGUGAUCGAUGCCAGAGGCUUGGGAAGUUGACACGCAGGAACAUGAUGCCUUUGAACCCCACUUUAAUAGUUGAUAUUUUUUAUGUUUGGGGCACUAACUUCAUGGGACCUUUCCCUAUGUCUUUUGGCUACUCUUACAUCUUGGUAGGAGUAGAUUAUGUUUCUAAGUGGGUUGAGGCAGUCCCAUGCAAACACAAUGACCAUAGAGUGGUUCUCAAGUUUCUUAAAGAGAAUAUCUUCUCAAGAUUUGGGGUGCCCAAAGCCAUAAUUAGUGAUGGGGGUACUCAUUUUUGCAACAAGCCUUUUGAAACUCUCCUAGCCAAGUAUGGGGUGAAGCAUAAGGUAGCUACACCUUACCACCCUCAAACUCAUGGACAAGUUGAGUUAGCAAACAGGGAGAUUAAAAACAUAUUGAUGAAGGUGGUGAACACAAACAGAAAAGAUUGGUCAGUCAAGCUUCUUAAUUCACUAUGGGCAUAUAGAACAACUUACAAGACCAUUCUCGGGAUGUCUCCUUAUCGCCUAGUUUAUGGCAAAGCAUGCCAUCUCCCUGUGGAAUUGGAAUACAAAGCUUGGUGGGCAAUCAAGAAGCUCAACAUGGAUUUGAGCAGAGCUGGGUUGAAGAGGUUCUUAGACCUUAAUGAGAUGGAGAAAUUGAGAAAUGAUGCCUACAUCAAUUCAAAAAUUGCAAAAGAAAAAUUGAAGAGGUGGCAUGAUCAGUUGAUUUCCCGCAAGGAUUUUCAAAAUGGACAAAGAGUCUUACUUUAUGACUCUAAACUCCACAUCUUUCCGGGCAAGCUGAAAUCAAGGUGGAUAGGUCAUUUUACCAUUCACCAAGUGCAUUCAAAUGGAGUAGUGGAACUACUCAACUCCAACAAUAUCGAGAACUUCAAAGUGAAUGGCCACCGUCUCAAGCCCUUUGUGGAGUCUUUUUCUCACAACAAGGAGAAAUUCAUCCUCCUUGAUCCACAUCAAGCUUAACAAGACCAAUUUUCUUGAUGGACUUAGUCUUUCUAAAGACUAUCGAGUCCAUAACUUUUUGUUUUAUUUUUUAUUUGAGAUUUUUUCGGUAUUGUUACUUGUUUUGUUUUUUAUUUUUCGUUUUAAUUUUAUUUGGUUUGAUUUAACUUAGGUUUUUGAUGAUCAAUUACAGGGGGGAUUUCAAAUAGAGGAAAAACCAAGAUAAUUCGCACACCCUACGAAAAUUUCGCAAGGCAUGCGAAAUUUAUGGCUUAUUUUGCAUGGGGUGAAAAUUUUCGUACAUCUUACGAACCAAUUUCGAACACUUUGCGAAAAUAAACCAACCCUGCGAAAUCAUUUCGAUUACUCUACGAAAUUUUCGUAGAGCAUGCGAAAAAUUUAGCACACCAAACACCAUUUCGCAUACUAUGCAAAAACCUAAGGGGUCUGCGAAACCAUUUCGCACCUCCAAAUCCAUUUCGCACAUUGUGCGAAAACCAAGAGGCGCUGUGCGAAAAUGAAAAGUCGCCCUGUCAUCCCUUUUUAAACCCCUCGAGCCCUAAAAUCUCCAUUUCGCAAGCACCCCUGUCCUUGCGAAUCCCUCAUUUUCCUCUACUACCUUGCAACCUCGUCCCUUUCCAUUUGAUAUUGUGCCCCGCGCACAUCUCAUUUCAGAGACUCGCACUCCGCGCCCCCUCAAAGCAUGGACUCGAGACCCACCUUCCAUUUCCGACGUGGCACGGACCCAAGGAGCCCUUUCUGCCCCUUCACUAAGACACACACCAAGGCAGAAAGCCUCCUUUGCUCAAGUGCCUAGUGAUUCUCCAUCUUAGGCCUCAGAGGCCUCGGAGGCCCCGUGGAUUCCACCUUCCGAGGGUAGAGCAGCCAUUGGUCCUUCCUCUUCUACUCCUUAGCGUAGAUACGAGACGAGGAGACCACCUACUACACAAGGGGCGACUACUUCGAGCCUUGAGAAUUCAGUACGAUGCCUUCCUGCCAAGAGGGUCAAGACUUCAGGUCCAAGUGAGUCAUCCAGAGCUUCAUAGCCUAAGCCUCCUGUAGAUUCCAAGGUUCCUACUGACAUAUCACCGGAGUCUAUUAUCAGAAGCCCGAUGCUCAUAGCACCGCCCAUUGAGGGCAACUCAGAUUAUAGAGCGAGAUCUUUCCACUUGGAGCUAUAUUUUGAUCAGGAGGCCAUACGACAGCAGCCUGAGCUCCGAGACUCUUAUGGCUUACUGCAGAGGUACCAUCUUGAGGAACUUAUGACUCCUCGUGAGUUUUUUUAUCCCAGAGUAGCACUAAACUUUUACCAGUCCAUGACUACUCGUGGCGUCCCGAGUCCUACCACGAUUCACUUCACCAUUGAUAGACGUCAUGGUAUCCUCAAGGCCAGACAUAUUACAGAGGCUCUACAAAUUCCUUUCGAGCUAGAGGAUCCAUCUGUUUUUCGCUAAUGGUCCCCAGUAUCUCAGAGGGACAUGGUCCGUAUUUUAUCUAGGGGAACAUCUACAGAUUCGAUCUUUCUACGGAAGGAGCUUCGACCUGGGAUGCUCCUCUUAGAUGUGGUGCUAUGCUCCAACCUCUUUCCCUUACAACAUUCGGUACAUAGGUGAUGAGCUAUUUUGGACGCUUUAUUCCGUAUAUCAGAGGGCUUCUACUUUGGCCCGCACCACUUGAUCAUGGUCUCCCUCAUCCACUUUGAGGAGAAGGUUCAUAGGAAGAAGCUUCAGAGGGUGGACACCAUUCCAUUACUAUUCCUGAGGUUACUUUGCCAGGUCUUGGAGUACAUGGGCUUUCCUACUGAGCCUCGGCUCGAGCUUUGCCGCCUUUGUCGAGAGUGAUCCACUCUCGACAAAUGGAAUUAGUUGGCGGGCUAUUCUGCACCUCCAGGAGCCCCUCCCAUGGUAGCACCUCCAAUGUCCCCACAGGCAAAGUAGGGCGAGCUCCCGGCAAAGACUGUACCACCAAUGCCCACACUUGAGGCUAUUUCUGCUGCUCUGCCUAUGACUCCUACUGUUCCACCAGUUGGUCCUUUUACAUCCGAGCCUUCCAUCACCAUCUCGGCUUCGGAGUUUCGCGCCCUUGUGCAUACCUUUCAGACACUCACCACCACACAUACUCCUCUCUUCUAGCAAAUGGUUGAGAUGUGUGCCCAUCAGGACCGGAAGACUACUAUACUCUGCCAAAUUCAGCAGCACCUAAGACUUUUGCCUCAACCUCAACCUAACCAUCCCAUAUCAUCAGAGCCUCUAGCUCCAACUGAGGAUACUAUUCCACCUGAGAACACUACCACAGUAGAGGUCCGGUUUCCACCACCUUAAGAGGCCACCACAGCUACAUCAGAGGAUGUGUCAUCUCCACUUGAGGCUCCCACUACUUGAUCAUAGGACAUAUCUUUAUCUUAUUGUAUUUACAUAUUAUAUUACUAGAGAUUUGUCCUUGUUUUGAUACUUUAUAUUCUGGGAUUGGAUGUAUUGCCUGAUGAUAUCUCAAUUGUACUUUCUCAUAUUAAUAUAUAGACAUCAAUUUUUUUUAGUAUACUUAGCAUUUUUCUAUUUCCUCUACUCAUUACUCUUUUGUUUUUUUUUACUCAUGUGGUUUCUCUUAUACAACUCAGACUCCAUUUCACUCAGGAGGUACCACUUCCUCCCUUUAUUUUCAAUUGCUCUUGAAAUAUUGAGUGCAAUGUUGAUCUUGGUUGGGGGGAGAGUUGAGGAAGGAAGUUUUGUUAAUAAUGCUAGGUUAAUUUGUUAAUUUAGUUACUUUCUGCUUAAUUUUAAAAGUUUUCACUCUACUUUCCAUGGUUAUUAAGGAAAAAUUCUCAAAAUGAAAUGGGAGAAAUCGAAUUCUUGCAUUUUUACUUGAAUCUUAGAAUUUGUAUCAUGCUUAUUAAAGUUGAUGAAUUAUUGAAACUCCUAUUGAAUUCAACCUUAUUUUUUCCACUUUAAUCUUACCACACACGGUGCACAUUAGGUUCCAGUUAUAAGAUAAAAAACUAUCUCACCCCCUAAACUUAGAAAAAUUUACACUUGGUACCUUUGACAUCGUUUUAAUAGUGUUGGGACACCUUAUAAAAGGCCAAUGAGCCUUUAAAAAAAAAAAAAAAAAAAAAAAGAGAAAGAACAAAGUAUUGCACUUGCCUUGAAACCUGAGCAAGAUCCGAGGGGUAUACAGUGAAAGUCUUUAAAACCUGGUGCCCUAAGCCUUGAUUGGUUGGGAGUCACCGACCUCAAUGCUCGUUAUAAGGGUGAAUAGGUGGAGUUUAACAUAUUGUAGGUGCUUGGGUAUUGAAUUUCAAUCUCAAAAGUCCGGGAAAAAAUCUAAGGAGUUAGUGGUCAAAAGAUCCUUAAAGCUUGAUGCCCUAAACCUUGAUUGGUUGAGAGUCAUUGAUGGAUCCCCGCUACAUGGACAUUUUAGAAAACAAUACCUUUAGCAUUGCACGCCUACAAUGAAAAAAAAAUGUGAAAUAAAAGAGGUGCGUUCUUAGCCUAUUGGAGGUUGGUCAGUUUGCUAAAGUUUGAGAAAUCUAGGUUGGGGGGAGAGAAUAGUCCGACAUACUAUAAUAAAAAACUAAUAACCUUAACACUUAGAUUUUUGUGGAAGAGUAAGGAUUGGACCUUUAGGGGUGGAAAUUCUUUUGAUGCUUAAAUUUGCAUAAUGCCUACUCUUUAUAAAUUAUGAUUAGGCAAGAGAUUUGAUGACUCUUGUUCAAAGUUGGGUUUUUCCUCUUUGAUGUUCCAUGAGAGAGUAUAAUCCUCAUCAUGCCACUUGAAAUCUUUUUGGAGUGAUUAACAUGAUUUUGUAAAUUAUUUUACUGUCUAUUUUUCUUUAUCUCUCUUUUAUUGCUAAUGGACUAGCAAUAUGUCAGUUGGGGGGAGUGAUUACUACUCAAAAAGUACUCUUUUAUAGCUUGAAACUAACUGUUUUAAACACUUUUGAGUAGGUGUUAAUACAUUUUAACUCAAUUGGCACAUUAAGGAACCUAACAAGGGUUACUAAUAAGUUUUUGGCAAGUUUUGGUGUUUUUGGUAGCUAUUUGAUCAUUGAAACAAGCCAAGAAUGAGGGAGAAUUUUGUGAAGUCCAUAGCAAUGCAAGUUAAAGCUCAAAUACAUGAAGAAUCCAAGCUUUGAAGCACUUCAUAGCCCUUUGCGAAGCCAAUCAGAGAUGCAAGGAAGAAAACCAGAGGAAAAAAUCCAACAACCAGCAUUUUCGCAUGGCUGUGCGAAAUUUUGCACACCAUGCGAAACCACAAGAAGUAGCCAAAGAAUUUUGCACACCAUGCGAAAUUUCGCAUGGUAUACGAAAUCUUCCUAUGCACCAACUCCGUUAUAUUUUUAUCUUCAGAUAUUUUGUGUAAUUUCCUAGUUUCUCCUUGUAACCAACCUAGAUAUUUUCUUUUAUAUCUUUUUUUUAUAUUUUUUAGGUAACAUCAUAUAUAGGGGGAGAGACAUAAGGAGGAUAUGGAUGUUUUUCAUAAAACACUUUUAAUUUUCUGGUAGUAAGAAAUAUACAAAGUUUUUUGCUCUGCCUUACCUUCUCAUUUUGUUUUCACCUAUCUUUCUAGCCAAACAACCUCUGAGAAUGAUUUCUCAGGGGAUGAGUAGUUAGGUUUUACGUUUCUUGGAGUGAGAGAAGCUAGGUGAAAGACCCAAAUGCUAAGGUGGGAGUUGUCCUUGCUUUAAAUGAAAGUAGUUGUUAAAUAUUAAUGGUUUUUAUUUUAAGGUUUAGCUUUAAAUCCCUUAAAAACACCUUGAAUGGCCAAUACUUGGUAAGCUUUUCGGAUUCUAUGGAUGCUUAUUGCUAGAUCCAUGGAUGUCAUUAGUUAUCAUUUAUGAGCCAUUGGAAGGUGGUUCAAGAUGAGAGUCUUUAGUGUUUGAAGCCAUUAAUGGGAAACAAUUACCAUUUUUUCAUGAAUCCUUUGGAUAAAAUCUUAAUUGCUAAAUAUAAAACUGGUUCGGGAGAUAACCAUCCUUUAUGUUAUUAUGCCCAAUGCAAGGAGAAGAUUUCGAAUCUUCUCAUUUGUCUAAGGAACCCGAUCCUAGUGACCUAAAGCUCCUAGAGACCUUUUCUUUGUAGUUAACUUCAUUUAUUGUUUUUGCUUAACUUAAAAUCAAUCUUUGCAACCACAAUUCCAUUUUCUUUAAAAGCUAAUUUUUAUAAGGAAAAGCACCAUUUUAUUUCCUUCACUAAGUCAACUGUAUGAUGAAAACCCAUCCCUGUGGACGAUCUUAGAGCCACUAUACUAUGUUAUCUAUGCUAUCCUAGUGUGAGGUGAUUUAGGUUUUAUAAAUUUUGUUGAUAACACCCGUCUGAGCCAGAAUCAAAUGGAACCACUGAACCAGGGACAAAUCAACAGCCUAUAUGGGAGGGACACAAGUUUAAUUGAUUUGCAUUUCAGCGUUAUAGAUAAGUAUGUUUUGGAAGAUUUGUUCUGGAAAUACUGCACCAAGUACGAUUCUUUUUCUCUUGAGUGAGUCCAUUUGCAUGCCAAUUAACGAGUUGAAAAGUAGGAGCACCUACCUCGUGCUCAUGGAACCGAAUGUCAGUGAAGUGGGGCUCCUUUUAGCCUCUUGUGUUUCUGUUCCAACCAAGGCGGCGUAGGGAAAAACAACAAUAUGUCUGUGCUAAAUAUCAACGCAUGAUAGAUGUUUUUUUUUUUUUUUUUGGUAUGUCAAGGCUAACGAAUGAAAUGCAUUAGCUUGUUUUGUGACUAUAACUGCAAAUGUCCAAAUUGGAGUAUCUCCAUUUCUCACUUCGGAUGGUUAACUUUAUAAACAAGAUAUAGGAAACAUGUGAACAUCUUGAGGAACAAUUCAAAUUAUUCAUUAGAAGUCCUGGGUUAAGUUCCAAGAUUUAAAUCAGACCCUUCUAGCAGCUUCAAGGGUACUUAGCAACCUAUAACAUAUUAAUGAAGAUUUAGGAUUUAGACUCCGGAAUACAAAUAAAUAUGUAUCUCAUGCUUUGACUAGCUUCCCUACAUAUGCAUAAAAUGGAGAUGACCCAAAAAAAAUAGCAGAAUCUAGCUUCCCUACAUAUGCACAAAAUGGAGAUGACCCAAAAAAUAGCAUAAUCGCCUUAGUUUCUGUGGUUAAGGUGAUUCUCCGCUUAAUAUCCACAUUGACUCAUUAUGCAAAAUCAACUGAGCUAAUUUUAUUUAUUUAUUUAAUGUCAAAUAGGAACUCCUAAUUAACUGAUUACUGUCGAAAAGUGCUAUUUUGUAGACCUAAUUAUAAGGGUUUUAAGCACCUUUGAGUAGUAAUCAUAUUCAUUUAACCUAAUUAAUUCAUUAAGCUCCUUAGUAAUUAGUUCUAACCAUUUUUAGUGGCAAGUUUACAUGUUUUUCAUCAGCUUAUGAACCAAUUCAAGCAUGCCAAUUGAUGGAGGAGCUACUUGGGCGAGUUAAGCAAGGAUUUUGGACGUUUACAGGCUUGAAUUUCAAGUGGAAACACGAGCACAAGCAAUGGGAACACCAUUUCGCAAGGGGAGGCAAUUCACCUUGCCAAAUGACCAAUUUCGCAAGGGGAUUUUCCUCAUGGUGCAAAAUUUGGUCAUUUCGCACCAUGAAGAAACCACCUUGCAAAAUUUCGCAAGGUGGAUUUAGGCACCUUGCGAAAUGCCAAAUUUCACAAGGUGGCUUUUCACCUUGCGAAAUUUGGACCUUUCAUCUUCCCCCCUUGCGAAAUGCCUUUGAAAUCCCCUGUUUUGAGACGCUGUUGAUGAUAUUCCACUGCCGGUUCUCCAAGAUAUUUUGCUUGACUUUUAGCUUUAUAAAUACCUAUUUUACCCUUGUAAUCAACCAAUGAAAAGGUUGCUUUUGUAAUAGCUCUUGUAAUUUAGCUUUUUAUUGUCUUUAAAUAGAGGUGAAGAGCCUCAGACACGAUCAUCUUGUAACCUGUAACUUUAUAAGUUAUAAGAGCACUUUUGUUCAUACGCUUCUUUUCUCUUUUCUUUCUCAUUUUCUUAGUAGCCAAACAUCCUUGGAGGAUGAAAUCCCCAAGGAUGAGAGGCUAAAACCUUUUAGUUUCUUGAAGUAAUGGAUGCCAUGUGAAGCUCCCGUGUCAGGAUGGAGAUUUCCAAGCCAUAAAUGUAAGUAGCUGAGCGUCAUAAAUGUUUUCAUUCAAAGUAAAGCUUUUAAUCCCUCUGACUUGCUUUGAAUGGCCAAUACUUGAUAACCUUUUGGUCUCAAUGGAUUCUUAUUGUUAGAUCCACUGACGUUCAUUAGUUAUCUCCUACGAGCCAUUGUAUUGCAAGUCGAGGAGAUGACCUAUACCAAUAAAAGAGCAUUUAUGAGGUUCAACUACCCUUUUUGUAAGUUUUCAAGGACUAAAACUCAGUUGUUAAACUCAUACCGGUUCGAGAAGUAAGCAUCACCUUAGUUGCUUCCCCAACUCGAGGUGAAAAGUCCCAAAAUCUCCAUUUUUACACAGUGAGUUAAGCAUGGCUAUCCAAAGCUUUAAGAAACUUCUUUUUCCAUCUUUUAACCUAUUUUCAUGUUAGUUUAGUUUACAACACCUUCAUCUUUUUAUGUUUUCAUCUUAACCUAAUUUUUAUUAAGAAAAGUUCACUCCAUCCUCCGAACUUCACCAGUUAAAGUAAAAACCCUUCCCAGUGUUCGAUCCUAGAGCCACUAUGCUAUAGUAGCUUUGCUACUUUAGUGUAAGGACCUUAGGUAUAAAUUUUGUUGAUACCCUUACAUGCCAAGCUACCAAGAGUCGGGUUAUCAUUAACCUAACCAUUGGCCUGUGUAAAUUGAUUUCACAUGCACAAUGUUGUAGUAGAAGUCCAUAUUUUGAAUUUUAUUUUUGUAAAGGUAAGGAAAAUGAAGCAUUGUGUAAUUAUAAAAAUAACUUCAUUGGAAUUCACAAGGUUCACCCAAAAUGGAGCUACAUCUGUAUUCUAUCCUACAGUAGACUAUAUAGAUUGUACAAUAGUAAAUUGCAAAUACAAUUAAUAAGUCUUGUGCUUCCUUACUAAUAAUCCUUUGACAUGAACAUUGCAGCACUAAGGUCCUCUUGGGAAGACACCUUGCACCCAUGAGAGCACUAAGAGGAAGCAAGGCAGAGUCAUGGGUGCAAUGUCAUGACUUGUUGUUGCACCAAGAGAGGCUUGGUGAUGCCAUGGUGUUGCAGUAGCAAGAAUGUUGCCUUGGCAGGGACACGAUCUAGGGAUAGAUGCCAAGAAAGGCUUAGCACUCACAUGAGUUGCACAAAGAUGAAUGUAAUAGAGCAUCAGAGAGACGUCUUGGCAAGUAAAUGAAUGGAUCCAAGAGACAACAACAUGAGGAGUUUCAAAUGGAUAAGGAAUGACUCAAAGACAUUUGAAAGCUACAAGUUGGAUUCUAAUUACGAUUGCAAUUUGAGUUUGAGUAGGAGUUUAGAUUUUGAUUGUAAUUGUAGUAUGAGUUGGACUAGGAUUGCUUAUCCUUAGUCAAUAUAGGAGCGGUUCGUGUCACCCUAUGAAAAGAGUUUGAGUAGGGACUAGGAUUGCUUACUCCUAGUCAAAUAUGGAGUAGGUGGUGCCACACCUAUAAAAAAAAGGGACAACAUGAGAGAGAGAGAGAGAGAGAAAGAGAGAGUGAAUUCACUAAAGAUAUUGUGGGAGUUUUGCUUUGUUACGUCUUGUAUUAUUACUUAGAAUAGGAAUAAAAUACAAGUUGGGGCUAGAGCCCCAUAAUUAAUCUCGUGUGCCUUUGUGGUUAUUCUUUAUUUGUCAUCUCGUGUGGAUUGGAUUAGGUUGACUUAGAGGGCUUCUAAGCACCACCUUUGUGGGUUAUUAUUUAUUUUCCAUCUCUUGUGGAUUAGAUUAGGUUGACUUAGAGGGCUUCUGAGCACCACCUUUGUGGGUUAUUAUUUAUUUUCCAUCUAUUGUGGAUUAGAUUAGGUUGACUUAGAGGGCUUUUAAGCACCACAUUUGUGGGUUAUUCUUUAUUUUCCAUAUCGUGUGGGUUGGAUUAGGUUGACAAGGAGAAAAAUUAUGUGGGAAAUUUGUGUUGGGACACUUACCAUAACCAAGUAAAAUCUACCAAGUCCUUUGUAAUAUCUUCAACAAAUAUUUUAGACUAGUUCUUUCAGUUAGUGUAAAGGAGGAAGAAGUGGUAUUGAUUCUAGAAAUAGGGUGUGUGUAUUUGAACUACAAUCCUUAUGAUCCUUAGGUCUCUAAACCUUCGUGAUGGGCUCCCUGACAUUUCAUAGGUUGUGCUACACAUGCGUUUGAAAUUUAGAGUGCGUUUGACAGUGAUUCCGGGAAGUGUUUUUGGCCUUUCUUACACUUGAAAAUUUUUAUUUUUCAAGUAUUAGAAAUGCUACAAACACUUUUGAAAAUUACUGUCAAACACACUCUUAGGAGCGCACAUAUAUAGUAGAAAACUAGAAAUUGUGGUUUUUUUAGGAUUUACUGUAAUGUCAUUAGGAGGGUAGUAAGUUGAAAUUGAGUAUGAACAAAUAUUUCUUUCUUUGGGAUGUUCUUCUAGUAGGUGCUGAUGAAACUGUUCUUUCUACUGCCAAUGUCACAUAUCAGCCAGAAAUUGAAAAUUUCAGUCAAGGUGUCCUCUGUUUUAGUGGUGAGGAAAGCUAGAAAUUUUAAGGUGAAGUUUUGUUAAAAACCUUAAGUAGCUGGGAUAUCAGGCCUGUUUUGCUUGAAAAAAAAAGUUGCAAGAUAACUCAUAUGCCAAACAGGUUCUGAUAUUGUGAAUCUAUCGGCAGACAUCAGUAAUCUCAUCUUCUGAGAUGGAUGUUGGGGGUGCAUGUGGUGGUGGAGGGGCAAGGUUUCAUUUGGUUUAUUUUGUUGAUGGAUAUUGUCUAGCCACCUGCGCCAAGUUUGAGGGGUGGUGGGUUGUGAUGACCCUACAAUUACUAUUAAUUUCUUCAUCUUUUACCGAUUAAAGUGUCCGAACAGUCGAAGUUACCCUUAUGCAUGUCAACUUGAUCACUUACCUCUUCAAUGGAGUUUAUGCUGGUUCAUUUAGGAACUGAUUUUUAUUGUUAUGUAUUAUAUGCUGAUGUUUAGGUCUCUCCAUCAUCACUAUAUACAAAAAUUCUAGGUUGAUACUAUAGGUUGAGAUUUAUUUUUUAAAUAAAAAAUAAUAAAAAUAAAAAUUAUGGUGAUGUUUAGUUGUUUUAUGGAAAAUUUUAACAAGUAAAAGUUAUUUUUGGGCAAGUUUUCAAACAAAAAGAAAAGUAAAAGUUGUUUUGACAAAAACAUAUAGAAAAAAAAAUCAUAGAAAAUAAAUAAUUUCCCCAUAUUCUAACUUUUUUGAAUUUUUCUCAAUGGGCAAAGGAAUAUCAAAUCAAGUUUGAGUAGGAUUUCUUAAUUUUUAAAAUAACUUACAAUUAAAAAAUUUUGGUGUUUUCAUUUUUGGACAAUUUUUUAUUAAGCAAAUGGACUCUGAGUCAUGCAAGAGAUAUGGUUCAUUAACCGGUCGAACAAUUUUUUUAAAUUAAUUUAAAAGUCAAAUACAUAAUCAAUUUCACAAAAUUUAUAAACAAAAAUAGGUUUAGAGAAGAUCUACACAUAAUUUUACUUUUCUAAUUUUAUUUUAUUUUAUUUUUUGUUGGAAAAUAGUCUUCAAAUCAUGUAAGAUUUAAUAGGUUAAAUUUGUUAACAAUAAAUUUUAAAUUAUAAAAUAUAAUCUGGAACUCAAAAAUCAAUUCAAGUAAUGCUAAAAAAAAAUCAAAUUUGGUAUAGAAUGACUUUGUAAAUUUUUUUACAAAACAAAUGAAUUUUAAAUCAAGUGAGAUUUAAUGCAUUAGAUUUUUAUCAAAUAUAGUAAUUUUAAAAAUAAAUUUGGAACUCAACAAUAGACACAAUAAAUACCAAAAAAUAAUGAACCAAAAUUGGUUUGGAAUAACUCCACAACCUUUUUUUUUUUUUUUUGGUGCACACGAAUUUUCUUACUAGGUAUAUUGCUUUCAAAUUGAGAAAGAUUUACCAUUUAGAUUUUUUUUUAAUGAGUUUAAUGGUAUUUUAAAAUAAUUCAAAAUUUAAAAAAUUGACUAAUUAAUAUUAUAAAUUGAUAAACCAAGACUAUUUCAAAAUGCAUUGGGGGCUAAGGGGGUUGAAAAUAGGGACAAUGGGAUGGGUUUGGGACAUGACACUCAUAUCUCAUUUCCAUUCCAAUUACACAGUUAUCUCCCAUCCUUAUCCCAAACUUGUGUUGGAGCAAGUUGAUUUGUUCCCAUCUUUGUUGACGAAAUGACUAAUAACCUCAUCCCCUCCUUAUCUUAGAUGUACAUUUUGUCAAAUUUGAUCAGGUAUGAUUGAUCCAAGCCCUAACCCUAAUUGGUAAUGAGUGAAUACUACACCUAAUUGCAUUCUUCUUUCAUUGCAAAAUAAUGAGAUUAUAAUAAUCUAGCAAAUAAGAAAAAAUAGUAUGGAAGUUCAAAUUAACACCAUAACUAUCAAUAAUUUUAAGCUUAUAGAUGACUUAAAUGAUUAAAAACUAAUGCAAAAUCCUAAAAAAAAUAAAAAUCAUAUAAAGAAUUCACAAGAGAACAGAAUGAACAAAAACCAAAUAUGAACAUGGGUCAACAUUAGUUAUGGAUUUGGAUUCCUUUCAAGGCCAAUCUUUGAACCAAGACUUCAUCAAAUCAACUACUUCAAAGGCUUUUGUGUUCUUCUUGGGUUGUGCUCUCAAACAAAGACUUCGAGGUGAUGUUCUAGAUGAUUGAAUUACACAUAUUUAGGGUGGAGAGAUUGGAGAAGCUUGAAGAUGCCAACGAUGGGUACAAUUGAGUGGUCAAUAAGAACAAUGUAGCCUAUGACUAGUUUGAUGUCAUGGUACAAGAGUUUUAGGCAUUGAGGUUAAAGCAAGAGCAACAUGGAAUUGAUUUCGGAGUCUUUCAGUUAGUGUAAAGGAGGAAGAAGUGGUGUUGAUUCUAGAAAUAGGGUUUUAAGUGGUGCGUGAUUACUACUCAAAAAGUGCUAUUUGAUAGCCUUUAAUUAAUCCUUUUUAACACUUUUGAGUAGUAGUUUAGGCCUUUUAACUCAAUUGGCAUGUUAAGGAUCCUUUAAAGCAAUUUUGAUCACUUUGUGCAAGUUUUGGUGUUUUUGUUAGUAUUUUGAUCACCAAAGCAAGUCAAGAAUGAGGAGAACUAUGAGGAAUCAUGGGCAAAGCUUAGAAUUCAAUUGCCAAGAGUGAAUCCGGAUUGCAAGGAGAAAAAGCAAAGAGAAUCUGUCAUGAAGCCUAUUCUUGAUGACAGUCGUAGCAGCCACUUUUGGAGCACUUUCUGAAGUCCAAAUGAUGCAAGCUAUAUACCAUUUCAAAGAUCAGGAAGUCAACAAUCCAAUGCUUCAAACGGUGCGCGAUUCGGAGUUGAAACGAAGAAGUUGCAGCCAUUACAAGCCAGUCACUCUAAAGUGUUGCGGAAUCAGCCUUUUGUUGCGAGAAUUUCGCAGCACUUUUGUACAGUAAGGUGUUUCUCCUUCUGACGAUGCACGAACCAUGCCGCGAGAGGGAAGCUAGGAACUUCAAGAUGGAAGCCAACUUUGCAGCCUGGUGAAGAUAGCUUGGUCUUGCGAAAUAAUUUCGCAGCCCUCUUGGGUGUCUGCGAAAUUUCGCAGGCACCACUUUUUUCCUGCGAAAUGGCUCCGGAAGCCUCCCGAAGCUUGCUACCGACAUUGGGAGAUAUUUUCCAUUAGAUUUUUGUUGUCUAAAUUCCAAAAUACUCCUUGUAAACCACCAAUUACAUGAUUCCUUAGUUUUUAAGUUAGUAAAAAGACCAAAUAUCUAUGUAAUAAUUAGUUUUAUAUUAGUUUGCUAUAAAUACCUCUCGGGAGCAUGUUCUCAGAGAGGAGUUCCUUCUGUAACCAUUUUGGUAAGCAAGUAAAGUCUUUUCUUUCUACUGCCUUACCUUCUCACUUUGUAUUUUCAUUUUAUUUCUAAGUUAUGAAUUCUCUGAGGAGCUUUCCCCAGAGAAUGAGUAACUAAACCUCCAAUUCCUUGGAGCUAAGGUUGCCGGGGAAGGUUCCAAGUGCAAGAAUGCAAAGCUCUGUGGUUUUAGCUAGUAAUGAAGAGGAAGUGAAAUCCUUUAGUGAUUUCAAUGUUUUUAGUUAACUUAAAACACCUUGGAGUCACCUGGGCCAACACUUGGUAAGGCAAGUGAUUUCCAACCGUGGAAAUGCACUAGUUUACCCCUUGCGAGCCUCUGGUAGGUGACUUCAAGGUAGGAUUUUCUGGAAUUACCAACACUUGGUAAGCUUUUGGACUCCUAGGAGACAUCCAUUAGUUAUCUCUUGCGAGUUUGUGAAGGGGAAUCCAAGGUUAAAGAUCACCUUGAAUGGUAAGUGCUCGUGAGAGGCAUGAACCAUUGCAAGUUGUAUCAGUGAGAGAAUUAAAGUGAAAUCUAAUUGAAGGAGUCUCUGUACAUCACCGGUUAGAGAAUUGACUAUAAGUUGAAUCUCUAAUGCGAGGAAAUGAACCAUCUGACCGGAGCUAUGUCUUUUGCAUGAGGAACCACCCCAGUGAACCUAAAUCUCCAAGGAAUGCUUUUCUUCCUAAAUUAUUCCAAACUUCUGUUAAGUUAGUUAGUUUAAGUCUAAACCUUUACCAAUCAAACUUUGUGUUUUAUUUCUUAAGCUAACCGUGAAAUGAAACAAAACCAAUUCACUUGGAAUUGGUAUCCUUGAUUGCUUGCAAAUCAUUCCCAGUGAACGAUCCUUAGAGCCACUAUACUAUAGUAGCUUUGUAUUUGCUACCCUAGUGUAUGGUGUUAUAGGUAUAAAUUUUGUUGAUCACUUCCUCAAUCAAGGAACACCAGCUGAACACAAAUCAGCUGAGACACCAAUUGGGCAUGAGUCAAAUGGCGCCGUUGCCGGGGAAUGAGUGUCAAGAUCAUUGUGAUACCAUUUUUGAGCACUUGUGAUUUUCAUCACAAGUUGGUAAAGUUUCUUUCACUUUACUAAUUUUCAUUCUCUCUUUGUUUAUUUACAAUCUAAGUUUAUCUUUUUAAAAUUUAGUCUAGUUUAAUUUUGCUAUUGUAGCCUUGUUUCUCUUGUUGUCCUCUGUUCUUGUUGUCCUCUGUUUUCAUUUUAGUUGCAGCUGAAUACUAGUUGUGUAUGCCAAAGUGGAUACGAGACAUUGGAGGUAGGCUUAUUAAGUGUGAUACACCUCAGAGAGGAGAAUUGGAAGUAAUCUUGAAUAUCAUGGAGGCUGCACCUGAAGAUCAGCAUAGUCACCAAGGUCGUCAAGACAAUCUCAAUGAAUUCAGAUCAAUGAGGGACCGUAUGCAUCCACCUCGUAUGAGUGCACCAUCAUGUAUAGUGCCCCCUACAGAGCAACUAGUGAUCAGACCAUAUCUUGUUCCACUUCUACCAACUUUCCAUGGGAUGGAAAGUGAGAAUCCGUAUGCACACAUCAAGGAAUUUGAAGAUGUUUGUAAUACAUUCCAAGAGGGAGGAGCUUCAAUUGAUUUGAUGAGGCUUAAGUUAUUUCCUUUUAAUUUAAAGGAUAAGGCCAAAAUUUGGCUUAAUUCUUUAAGGCCAAGGAGUAUCCGCUCUUGGACUGAUUUACAAGCUGAAUUCCUCAAGAAAUUUUUUCCUACUCAUAGAACAAAUGGCUUGAAAAGGCAAAUUUCAAACUUCUCAGCUAAAGAGAAUGAGAAAUUCUAUGAGUGUUGGGAAAGAUACAUGGAAGCUAUAAAUGCUUGUCCUCACCAUGGCUUUGAUACUUGGCUACUGGUGAGUUAUUUUUAUGAUGGUAUGUCCUCCUCAAUGAAGCAACUCCUCGAGAAAAUGUGUGGAGAAGAUUUCAUGAGCAAAAAUCCAGAGGAAGCUAUGGAUUUCUUGAGCUAUGUAGCUGAUGUUUCAAGGGGAUGGGAUGAACCAACUAAAGGAGAAGUGGGAAAGAUGAAGUCUCAGUUGAAUGCUUACAAUGCAAAGGCUGGGAUGUAUACUUUAAAAGAGGAUGAUGACAUGAAAGCAAAGUUGGCAGCUAUGACAAGAAGAUUGGAGGAGCUGGAGCUGAAAAGAAUGCAUGAAGUGCAAGCUGUUGCUGAAGCACCAGUGCAAGUGAAGUUGUGUCCCAAUUGUCAAUCGUUUGAACAUUUGGUAGAGGAAUGCCCUGCAAUUUCAGCUGAAAGGGAAAUGUAUAGAGAUCAAGCAAAUGUUGUUGGACAAUUCAGGCCCAAUAACAAUGCUCCUUAUGGAAAUACCUACAAUUCAAGUUGGAGGAAUCAUCCAAAUUUUUCAUGGAAGGCCAGAGCAACUCAAUACCAACAGCCGGAUCCACCAUCUCAACAAUCUUCAAGUAUUGAACAAAUAAUAGCUAAUCUCAGCAAGGUAGUGGGAGAUUUUGUGGGAAAGCAAGAAGCCACCAAUGCUCGAGUGGAUCAAAGAAUGGACAGAGUGGAUCAAAGAAUGGACAGAAUGGAGAGUAUGUUGAACAAAAGAAUGGAUGGAAUGCAAAAUGAUAUGAAUCAAAAAUUUGAUAACAUCCAAUAUUCAAUUUCAAGGCUUACAAAUUUGAAUACACUGCAAGAAAAGGGAAGAUUUCCUUCUCAACCUAACCAAAAUCCCAAAGGUGUCCAUGAAGUGGAAAGCCAUGAGGGAGAAUCAUCACAGGUGAAAGAUGUGAAAGCUUUGAUCACUCUAAGGAGUGGUAAGAAAAUUGAGCAGCCAACACCCAAGCCACAUGUUGAGAAAGAAGAAGAGAUGAAGAAAGGGAAGGAAAUGGAAGAUAAAGGCAGUGAGAUCAGUGAAGAAAAGAAGGACUCUGAUGCAACAAUGAAAGUAAUUCCAGAGAAGGAGCUUCUGAAGGAAGAAAUGCUGAAGAAAUCAACUUUUCCACCUUUUCCUCAAGCAUUACAGGGGAAAAAGGGGGUUAGAAAUGCAGCUGAAAUCCUAGAAGUAUUGAGGCAAGUGAAAGUUAAUAUUCCACUGCUGGAUAUGAUCAAACAAGUUCCAACGUAUGCAAAAUUCCUAAAGGACUUGUGUACUAUCAAAAGAGGGUUGACUGUAAACAAGAAAGCCUUCUUGACUGAGCAAGUAAGUGCAAUCUUACAGUGUAAGUCUCCUUUGAAGUACAAAGACCCUGGAAGUCCUACCAUUUCAGUCAUGAUUGGAGGAAAGGUAGUGGAGAAAGCCUUGCUAGACUUGGGAGCAAGUGUGAAUUUGCUUCCAUAUUCUGUCUACAAGCAACUGGGACUUGGAGAGUUGAAGCCAACAGCAAUCACUUUGUCUCUGGCAGAUAGAUCAGUGAAAAUUCCAAGAGGGGUAAUUGAGGAUGUAUUGGUUCAAGUAGAUAAUUUCUACUAUCCUGUAGAUUUUGUUGUUCUUGAUACAGAUCCUACUGUAAAGGAAGCUAAUUUAGUUCCUAUCAUCCUUGGAAGGCCAUUUCUUGCAACUUCAAAUGCAAUCAUCAACUGUAGAAAUGGGCUUAUGCAACUCACUUUUGGUAACAUGACACUGGAUCUAAAUAUUUUCUAUAUGUCUAAAAAGCAAAUCACUCCAGAAGAAGAAGAGGGUCCAGAAGAGCUAUGUAUUAUUGAUACUUUGGUGGAGGAGCACUGCAAUCAACAUAUGCAAGAUAAGUUGAAUGAAAGUUUUGUGGAUAUUGAGGAAGGUUUUUCUGAAUCUCCUAAUGGGCUUGCUACUCUACAAAGUUGGAGAAAGAUAGAAGGAAUUCUACCUUUGUUCAAUGAAGAAGAGGAGGCAGCUGUUGAAAAAGAAAUUCCAAAACUCAAUCUGAAGCCUUUACCUAUGGAGCUGAAAUAUACAUAUCUUGAAGAAAAUAAUCAAUGUCCUGUCGUAAUAUCUUCAUCUCAAACCAAGUCUCAAGUGAAGGAUGCAAGCUUCAAAUGGGAUCCGGGCAAACUGAAUCAGGAAGGGCAAAAAGUUUUGAUGUAUGACACAAGACUCCAUAUCUUUCCUGGGAAGCUCAAGUCAAGGUGGAUUGGUCCAUUUGUUAUUCACCGAGUAUAUUCCAAUGGAGUGGUGGACUUAUUGAAUUCCAAUGGCAAGGACAGCUUUAGAGUCAAUGGAUAUCGUCUUAAGCCGUUCAUGGAGUCAUUCAAAUCAGAAAAGGAGGCAAUCAACCUCCUUGAACCUCAAAAAGCCUAAGUGAAAUGGGUUUGCUGGACGUGGUUUUACCACAGUCCAAAAAUUUUUGUAAAUUUUGUAAAUUUUCAAGUUGUUUCCAUGCUUUUAAUCUUAGUUUUUGAUUUUAAAUCAUGUUUUUAGGUGUGUUUUAAUCGUUUUAUAUGAUCCCAGGCGGAAGAAAUUUCAAGGGGAUUGAAAAGAAAAAAAUCGGGUCGAAAUUGGAGCCGAAACAGAGCAAAAACAGGGGAAAAACAGAGCUCUGCGAAAUUUCGCAGGGUGAAGGAAACUUCUGCGAAAUUGGCAUUUUGCUGCCAAACCAUUCCGCAGCACUGUAGAAGCCUCUGCGAGUGUAUUUCGCAAUUGCGAAAGUGGAUUUGGCACACGAGUGCCACUUCGCAGCACAGUGACAUCAAUUUCGCAGCUGCGAAACUCACUGCGAAGUUGCUGCGAAAAUGGCAAGUUGCUGCGAAAUUGGCGUUUUGUUGCGAAACGUAAUCUGACCCCUGGGCUUCCGUUUUUCCUAUUUAUACCUGUCAAAAGUGCUGCGAAAAAGGUUUCAAAAAUUAGAGCACCAUUCUCGCAGCCCUUUCAUCUUCUUCGCCAAGCCACGCCGUCCGUUUCUCCGGUCGUCUUCUCCGUUUAGCAGCGCCGGCCAAAGAUCGAUAGCCCAAAAAUGGCACGAACGCGAGGGGCAAAGUCUUCAUCCCCUUCGAACCGCAAAAGGAGUCUGCGAAAGGAGCCAAGUUCAGGCUCUGUUCCAGAACCUGCUCCAAAGCCUUCGCCGUCGAGACCACAACCUUCUCCAGUGAAGCCGGCGCCACCAAAGCCGCCGGCAAGGCGAUAUUUAACCAGGUCAGGUGGUCAGCCAUUGAAGAAGAAAGCCAGAGUUGAGAGCUCUGAACCAAUCGAUUUGACUGAGCAAUCCCCUGAGAAAUCACCAAAUCCUUCACCGGUACAAAUUCCAGUGCCAUCACCGGUUCCCUCGCCAAUUCCCUCACCAGAAGCAACUCCAAUUCCAUCGCCGGUACCAUCUCCGGCACCCCAAGAAAAAGCUCAGGAGCCUCAAGCGCCAAUUCCAGAGCCCCAAAUUGCAGCUGAAGCACCUCUGGAAGAAGUGAUCCGAAGGCCAAUGCUGCCUCAGCCCCCAAUCGAAGGAAACCUGGAUUGCCGAACUCGGGCAUUCCAUUCUGAGCUUUGCUUCGAUUUAACAGCAUUCAGAGUGAGGCCAGAGCUUGCCCAAUCCUUCCAACUGCUGAGGAGAUAUCAUAUGGAGCAUCUGCUAGCUCCAAGGGAUUUUUUCUAUCCCCGGGUAGUCACGGAUUUCUACCAAACCAUGACAACCAAAGAAGUAAGAAAUCCAACUCUGAUUCAUUUCAUAAUUGAUGGAAGGCAUGGUAUUUUGGGAGCAAGACAUAUUGCUGAAGCCCUGCAAAUUCCUUUUGAGCCAACUCAAUUCGACAAUUUUAAAGCUUGGACAAAUCCUACUGAGUUAGAGAUGGUUAGCACACUAACCAGAGGAGCUGCAAAUCGAUCGCAUUUGUUGAGGGGGGAGCUACCUCCAGUUAUGUUUUUGAUUGAUGCCUUUUUGAGGCAUAAUAUCUAUCCCCUGCAGCAUUGGACCCAAAGAAGGGGAAUUCUCCUAGAAGCCUUGUACAAAAUGUCUGAAGGAUUCUUCUUUGGGCCUCAUCAUCUGAUCAUGGCAGCCCUUCUAUACUUUGAGGAGAAGGUUCACAAGAAGAAGCUUCAAAGAGCAGAUUGCAUUCCACUCCUCUUCCCAAGGCUGCUAUGCCAAGUUUUGGAGCAUCUCGGAUACCCCUCUGAGCCUCAGCAGGAAAGAAAGAGAAUAUGCCGUGAGCCUUUUACCCUUGAUAAAUGGAAUAAUAUGACGGCCUACAAAAUUGAUCAGCCUGGGCAGCCUCAGCCAGCAGCAAGGAGAGUCUCCCCAAGACAUAUACCUGAAGGUAUAACACUUGCUACUCCUGCCAUCCCUCGAGCUCCACCAGCUGCACCUGCUCCAUCACAGCCAUCCACAUCAGCUGAGCCGAGGAUGGCCAUCCCUAUAUCCGAAUAUCGAGAGCUGUGCCGUGCAUUGGAGACUCUUACAGCUUCUCAGAGCAAUCUUGCUCAGGAGUUGGCAGCCAUUAAAGCAUGCCAGGAGCAGAUGUUAGCCUCUCAGACUCAACAAGCUGCCAUCCUAAGGCAGCUUCAAGUCCAUUUCGAUCUGCCACAAGCUGUAGAGCCCUCUAUUCCUACUCCACCAGAGCCACACUCUCAGCCUUCAGAGUCUCAUCCUCCAGAACCCGAAGCACCAGCUGAUCCACCUACUGAGGAGGCAGAUCCUUCUGCCUAGCACCAUCACCCCCCUCAUCAGACAUUAUAUAUAUAUUUGCUGUUUAUGUUUUUAUGCAUGUUUGUUUUGUUUUAGUUGAAAAGAAAUCCCAGUAUUUUGGUACUAUAUAUGGGAUUCCUUGUGUUACUUGUCUUUAGUAUUGUAAUCACAUGAACUCAAAGUAAUACAAGUUGACUAUUUCUUGUUAAAAGUUAGCAUUAAAGUUUCCUUAUUUCCUUUUCUCACAUAUUCUAUUCUUUUUGAAACAUGUGGUUUUCCCCAAUCAAUAUUCGAAUUUGAUAUCAGCAUGGAGGUACCACUUCCUCCCUUUUAUUACAGUCACUCAAAUCACAUUGAGGACAAUGCUCAGUUCGGUUGGGGGGUAUGAGGAAGGAAGUAUUCUAAACCUUUUUGGUAUUGCAAUUAUAUUGGUUAAUUAGUUGUAGAUUUUACUUUUUACUAGUGUUACUCUAUUCUCCAUGAAUUUUGAGGAAAAAUUUUCAAAUUAAACCAAGAGAAAUUGAACUGUUGUUUUUCACUUGACUUAGAGUAUGGAUUAUGCUUACUAAAGUGGUUCAAUUGUUGAAACUUCUACUGAAAUUGAAUUGAGUUCUUCCACUUUAAGCUAUCCACACACUGUGCACAUUAGUUUCCGAUUAUAAGAUGAAAAGCUAUUUCCCUCUUGACUUAGUAUAUUUUUGGGACUUGGUAUAUUUGACCUCAUUUGAUAAAAAUUGAAACACCCUGCAAAAGGCCAAUGAGCCUUUGAAAUAAAGAAAGUUGUUUGCUUGCCUUGAAACCCGAGCAAGGUCUGAGGGGUAUAUGGUGAAAAUCUUUAAAGCCUGGUGCCCUAAGCCUUAAUUGGUUGGGAGUCACCGACCUCAAUGCUCGUUACAAGGGUGAAUAGGUAGAGUUAGCAUAUGGUAGAUGCUUGGGUAUUAGAAAUUCAUUCUUAAAAGUCCGGGGAAAAAUCCGAGGAGUUAGUGGUUGAAAGAUCCUUAAAACUUGGUGCCCUAAACCUUAAUUGGUUGGGAGUCAUCGAUGGACCCCCAUUACAUGGACAAGUCAGAAAGAGUACCCCAUAAAGCUACCUUAAAAAAAAAAAAAAAAAAAAAAAAAAAAAAAAAGAUGAAAGUGUGUUCUUUUCUUAUUGAUUUUGGUCAGUUUGCUAAAGUGUUGAAAAGAGAUAGGUUGGGGGGUGAGAUUAGUAGCAUAUUAUUCUCGGAACCUAAGGAACCAAUACACAUAGAUUUUUGUGGAAGAUUGAAGUUUAGUUCUUAGAAAAUGAAAUGAUUUUAAAACUUCAGUUUGCAUAAUGCACUCCCUUGAUUGACAGUGUUUAGCAUAGGUGUUAUGACUCUUGUUGAGAUUUGGGUUUGUAUUUCUUUAAUGAUUCAUGUGAGAAAUAGAUCAUCAUGCCACUUGAGAAUUAUUUUCCUUUUAGCAUGAUGUUGUAAAUUUUAGAUUAGUUUGCUAUUUAUUUUUUAUUUUCUCUCCUAUAUUGCUAAGGGACUAGCAAUAUGUCGGUUGGGGGGAGUGAUUACUACUCAAAAAGUGCUAUUUGAUAGCCUUUAAUUAAUCCUUUUUAACACUUUUGAGUAGUAGUUUAGGCCUUUUAACUCAAUUGGCAUGUUAAGGAUCCUUUAAAGCAAUUUUGAUCACUUUGUGCAAGUUUUGGUGUUUUUGUUAGUAUUUUGAUCACCAAAGCAAGUCAAGAAUGAGGAGAACUAUGAGGAAUCAUGGGCAAAGCUUAGAAUUCAAUUGCCAAGAGUGAAUCCGGAUUGCAAGGAGAAAAAGCAAAGAGAAUCUGUCAUGAAGCCUAUUCUUGAUGACAGUCGUAGCAGCCACUUUUGGAGCACUUUCUGAAGUCCAAAUGAUGCAAGCUAUAUACCAUUUCAAAGCUCAGGAAGUCAACAAUCCAAUGCUUCAAACGGUGCGCGAUUCGGAGUUGAAACGAAGAAGUUGCAGCCAUUACAAGCCAGUCACUCUAAAGUGUUGCGGAAUCAGCCUUUUGUUGCGAGAAUUUCGCAGCACUUUUGUACAGUAAGGUGUUUCUCCUUCUGACGAUGCACGAACCAUGCCGCGAGAGGGAAGCUAGGAACUUCAAGAUGGAAGCCAACUUUGCAGCCUGGUGAAGAUAGCUUGGUCUUGCGAAAUAAUUUCGCAGCCCUCUUGGGUGUCUGCGAAAUUUCGCAGGCACCACUUUUUUCCUGCGAAAUGGCUCCGGAAGCCUCCCGAAGCUUGCUACCGACAUUGGGAGAUAUUUUCCAUUAGAUUUUUGUUGUCUAAAUUCCAAAAUACUCCUUGUAAACCACCAAUUACAUGAUUCCUUAGUUUUUAAGUUAGUAAAAAGACCAAAUAUCUAUGUAAUAAUUAGUUUUAUAUUAGUUUGCUAUAAAUACCUCUCGGGAGCAUGUUCUCAGAGAGGAGUUCCUUCUGUAACCAUUUUGGUAAGCAAGUAAAGUCUUUUCUUUCUACUGCCUUACCUUCUCACUUUGUAUUUUCAUUUUAUUUCUAAGUUAUGAAUUCUCUGAGGAGCUUUCCCCAGAGAAUGAGUAACUAAACCUCCAAUUCCUUGGAGCUAAGGUUGCCGGGGAAGGUUCCAAGUGCAAGAAUGCAAAGCUCUGUGGUUUUAGCUAGUAAUGAAGAGGAAGUGAAAUCCUUUAGUGAUUUCAAUGUUUUUAGUUAACUUAAAACACCUUGGAGUCACCUGGGCCAACACUUGGUAAGGCAAGUGAUUUCCAACCGUGGAAAUGCACUAGUUUACCCCUUGCGAGCCUCUGGUAGGUGACUUCAAGGUAGGAUUUUCUGGAAUUACCAACACUUGGUAAGCUUUUGGACUCCUAGGAGACAUCCAUUAGUUAUCUCUUGCGAGUUUGUGAAGGGGAAUCCAAGGUUAAAGAUCACCUUGAAUGGUAAGUGCUCGUGAGAGGCAUGAACCAUUGCAAGUUGUAUCAGUGAGAGAAUUAAAGUGAAAUCUAAUUGAAGGAGUCUCUGUACAUCACCGGUUAGAGAAUUGACUAUAAGUUGAAUCUCUAAUGCGAGGAAAUGAACCAUCUGACCGGAGCUAUGUCUUUUGCAUGAGGAACCACCCCAGUGAACCUAAAUCUCCAAGGAAUGCUUUUCUUCCUAAAUUAUUCCAAACUUCUGUUAAGUUAGUUAGUUUAAGUCUAAACCUUUACCAAUCAAACUUUGUGUUUUAUUCCUUAAGCUAACCGUGAAAUGAAACAAAACCAAUUCACUUGGAAUUGGUAUCCUUGAUUGCUUGCAAAUCAUUCCCAGUGAACGAUCCUUAGAGCCACUAUACUAUAGUAGCUUUGUAUUUGCUACCCUAGUGUAUGGUGUUAUAGGUAUAAAUUUUGUUGAUCACUUCCUCAAUCAAGGAACACCAGCUGAACACAAAUCAGCUGAGACACCAAUUGGGCAUGAGUCAGUGCGUUAGAGGAUCAAGAAGAAGAAAAAGAAGGAACUGUUGGAAUUAGUAUGAGUGUGAAGAGAAAAGUAUAUAAAUAAGGGGAAGUAAAAGCAAAGUUCAAAAAGCUAUAUUUUUUUAUUGUUGGUGUAUGGUUGCAUGAUUAUCCCUAUAAAUAAUAGGAGUUUUUUGGUAUUCUACUAGUAGUUGAAGCAUAAUUUCAUAAAUUAAUAUUUAGAGCGGGGUGGGGUGAGUUGUGACAAAAUUCAUACCCGUCCCAAACCUUGGUUCAGAUUUUUAAAAUAUUCUCAAACUUAUCAUAUACCCAACUUUUAUAUUUCAUACUUGUCCUAAUAGAGGCACGUUAGGCCGGGUUACUUGAGUAACCUACAUAAUUGUCAUCCCUAGUUGAAAUACACUUUUUGGCAGUGGCCACCAACUGAGCUAGAAGCUUGAUUGAUUGACCUACAAGAUUAGUUCUCAUCAUUUUAAAAAAAGUUCUGGCUUUGGUUGUGAGUGCAAUUGAAUCUAAACUGGCAUUUGCUUAAUGCAUCUACUUCAAUCCUAAACUUCUUACUUCUUAAGCCUCAAUUGUUGUUAGGAUUUUGGAAAACCCAUUUCCUUAAAUUGUAAAUUUAAGAUAAAAUAAAAUAAAAGUGAGACAUUUCUUGAUUGAAUAUUGUUAAAGGUCCCUUGGCAUUAAGACUUGGUUGAAGCCUUGGAAGAUUAGUGGAACUCUCAACAUGUGUUUGAAUCUUGAGGAGAGUGGAUGUAAGCCAAAAUUUUGUCAAACCAUUAUACAAAUUGAGUUUGAAUCCUCAUUUCUUGAUUUCUUAUUUAUUUGCUUUUUCUUAUUAUUACUUGAAUUGUCAUUUGCAUUCAUUAAUGUUAAAAUUGGUUAUAAUUAACCAACACUAAUUCUCUUUCCCCUUCCCUUUCUUGGGUGUAAACCUAGGUUGGAUUAACUAGAUAAAUCUAUUAAGAUGGUAAAAGAAUAAUUAUUCUUAACAUACAUAAGAUCAUCUUCAAUCAAAUGACUCAUUGGCUAAUAUGUUGAAUUUGCUUAUUACUUGCAACUCAAAAUUGUGUUCUAGUUGUGUCAAGUCCCCAGUGUAUGGACAUUAAAUUUGUAGUACGUGAUGAGUAAUUAGAUGGUCCAACUCCAAGAAAGUGAUUGAAAAGUAGUUCAAGAAAGGUGCAAAAGGGAAUUGUUUUGGUAUUUUCGUUUUUAUUCUUGAAGGUGGCAGAGCUAAAAUUUGAGAAAUCAAGCAAAACAUACUGAAAUUACAUUGAAAGAAAGAAGAUGGGAGUUAAUGUCUUGCAGUACAUGAUAAGGACUUCAUGCAUGUAGUGUGACCCAUGUCUUGGACUGAUGCCAACUCACGGUUACACUUAUACCCUUGGUUCUCUCUUUACUACCUUGGCUAACCUAGAUCAGGCUAUGAGAUAGGCUCCUCACCACACCAUUACUUGCCCAUUAAUUAGAGACAUUUUCAAGCAAUGAGGUAACAUGGUGACACCAAGAGGGUCUAUUCCUCGCCCGGAACAAGUCUAGACUUGGUCUCAAAAAAAUGGAGAAAAAUGAGGUGUCGUUAUGUAGAAAUACAACAACCAUGCCUUCCUCAUUACUUAGAUUCAGAAUGUGAAGGUGAAAUUGAGAAACAGAAACUCUUGAAACCAAAAUGAAAAUUGAUACUUUUACGAAGAAUUACAACAACAUUAGAGGAAGACUACAUUCUUCCUCUUUAUUCCUACAUUUCUACACUACUUCUACUCCACUCCAUAUUUCUACAUACAUCUUUAAUCAGUCUUCCCUCCUUUAUAUAGAGCCAUCUUCACACAAAUUUCGCAAGGUAGAAAAGAGGAAUGAAACUUGGAGCAAGGUUCGACUACUGGUUGUAGCUUGUCAAGGCUGGAAGUGAACUUUUCUUGGCUUUCUGGGCAUGGGUAGUAACUUGUGGGUUCCUGUUUGGCAUAAAAAUGGCUAGAACAUGUGGCACUAUCUUGUUGGAUGAUGUGUCAAGCAUGUGGCAGCCAUCUAGUGGCGAUUAUGUCAAUUUUGGGAUGGAGAGUUGGCAUCCAAUUGCAAAGAAAUAUGACGUCUACCAACAUGCAAUGUAAACCUAUGUAGAUCAUAUGAAGAUAGAGAGGAAAAAUAUAGAAAUGGAUAUAUACCUAGAACUAGCUUUUUAUUAAAUGAAACGGAGAGACAACAAUGAAGGAAAAUAAAAUUUUUUGGCUUAUAUCAAAGAGUUCACAUUGUGUUACCCUAGGUUUUCUUAAAACUUACUUUUAUGAUAACAAAAAAGAAAAAACCAUUAUUGUUUAAUCCUUUGUUUUAAACGCAUGUAAGGUGUAAUUAAGUUAGUUCAAUGCAUUAAUUUAAGAAACUUGACCUAUCAAAAGUACAAAAUUAGAUGAAAUCCAUUUCAAUGGUUAAAAUGAUCAAAAUCAAACUUUUUCUAAGUAUUUUUUAAAAGCAUCAAUAGUGAAAGACAAUUUUAUAUUUAGUCGGAGUUUGGACAAAACUGAAAAACACACAAAAUCCAAGCGACCAUCUCUAGCUUGGAUGGUCGCUUGAUCCCACCUAGAGAUGUGCAUGAGUAAAAGGAUUUGAAAAUGGAAAUUGACUAUGUAGUCGAUCAAUUAACUUUGCAACAUCAUAUGCAAUCCUAAUUGCUAGUCAUCUAAUCAAUUAGGUAGUCAAUCAACAGGCCAAAAAUAUGUUUAUAAUGACUAUUUUGUACAAAAACCACCUGUAUAGUUAAAUAUAAUGCAUUUCAUUUAUAAAUCUUCUAAUUCUUGAAUAACGAUCCUAUCAUCCUUUGAAAGUUUUUAUUACACUUUUUUUACUUUUGUUCUAAAACUUACACAUCACCCUUAAUUGUACCAUGAGAACCUAGCUAUUUUUUAUUUUUUUUUUUGUAAUUCAUCAAAGUUAGCUUUUGUAUUCAUUGUUGUAUUAUUUUUAGUAUAACUUAGAAAGCUAGUGUUUUCAAGUGAGUAAAAUUAACUUGUAAAUAUUGUAAAGAUUCAUCGACAUGUAUCUUAAACUAAGUGUACAAGUUAAAACAUUUGCUAGUAGAUUUUCUCAAAAUUUAGAAUAGAGCUUGAGACUAUUGAAAUAGGUGGGGUUGCACCAAACCACAUCACAUCGUUGUUUGCACCUUUUUUCACUCUCUUUUACUUAGUUGCUCUAUAUUUGUUGUCUAGUAAUAUCCUAUAGGCUUGAUGGGUUAGGGAGCAUCCCUUUGUGAAAAAAUUUUAUUCAAUCCUUAGUUGUAUCACGCAUAUAUAAAAUGCCUCAUUGUUUUAAUGGUAUUCAGUCGUGGCAUCACAGAUAUGGGCAUCUAAAUUUUAAAAGUUUGAAACUUUUAUCUAAAGAAAAUAUGGUGCUUUGCCUUUUUGUAAAGCAUGUUGAUGAAAUCCAUGAGAAUUGUGUACUUGGGAAGCAACACCGAGAUGACUUUUUUUUUUUUUUUAUAAUAUUGUUUGUCCAAAUUCCCUACAAAUUAGGCCACCAGAUGUUCAUAAUUCUCCCUUCUUGAAUUUGAAAACUCGGACAAUUGGACAAUGCGACACCUAAGUCCGGUUUCUAAAUGCUAAAGUGAAAGGGUAGGUAUGGACCAUUGAAAUGUGAUCACAACUUUUCUCUGUAGCCAUGUUGUCUCUUUUUUCUUUUGCAUGAUUUUCUUACCUUAACAGAAUCAUAGACUUGUUUAGUCUCUAAAUGGGAUUAAUUUCAUCCAGCUUUAAGCUACUAUAUUAUAUCUAGGUGGAGGACUUUUAAGAGUGCAACCGACAUAGAGCACAUGGAAGUGGGUAUAUGGGACAUGAAAUUUCUUCUUAUAAAGAUUGCAUGAUUUUUAUAUUAGAGUUGUUGAGGCGCUAUGUAUUUAGCUUGUUUUGCAGUUAAAUUAAUUGGAUAAGUAGACAUUGGCGUUUCUAAAUCUACUGUGAAGUGCUUCAUGUACGUGUGAAGUAUUAGAAAUUUCUUUCUUGGCAACUUGUUUUUCUUUGCGGUCUACUGAUAGGUUUGACUAAAAUUAUAUUCCCUGUCAUGCUAAUUAAUUUUCACGUGCAUGCUCAAAAGAAAAGUAUGACCUUAGUGCACCAAAAUCACUUUGAUUAAUUUGUGAUAGGUUUUUGUGCAUCAUGACAUUAGCCUUAUUCAUUUAGAUAAUGUUUAGUUUUUAGAAAGUAUUAAGAAAAGGAAAAUAAAUAUUAAGAAAAAUAUUCUUAUAUUUGAUUGUAUUAUGAAAAAUAUCAUAAAAAAAUCAAAUAUAAUUUAAAUUAAUUAAUAAUUUAUACAUUUUCAAAUUAUUUAAUCUUUAUAUUGAAGAUAUAAUAUAAAUGAAAUGAGUUUUAAGUAUUAUAUAAAAGUGAUUUAUUGAUCUUACAUAUAUAUAUUUCUUUUUUUUUUCCUUCUAUUUUUUCUCUUUAUUUUAUUUUCCUUAUGUUUUCCUCAACAUUUUCCGGAACCAAACAUAGCCUUAGGAAAUCCACAAUUACCUUCAACUGAGUAGAUUCUGUUGUUUUAGCAAUGUUAGGCUGCUAACUUGUGUUGGUACGAACCUAUUAAGCCUAAAGAUGUAAUUAGUUAGGAUAUUCUUUUCCCUCUAGUCUUGUAGCUCCACGUGUACAGUUGGUUAGGACCUCAUUGUAUAUAAUGCUUGCCCUGUUAUUGUAGAAGACAACAAAGAUAAAUAAUAUUAACAUUUUUCCUCUCAUCUCUCUCUGUUUCCCUCUGUUUUCAUCUCCUCUCUCAUCUUGGUAUCAGAGCCUCCAUGGCUUCUUUCAAAGAAACCUCCGAAUCACCUUCUGCUAGCAUUGUUAAUGUGCAAAACCCAUUAUCUCAAUCAAACAACCUUCCUUCACCAGUAGCCACACCCUCUUUUUCUUUCUCGUCUAUGAAUCAACCUCUCACAGUGAAGCUGGAUAAUGGGAACUACCUCAUAUGGAAGAAUUAGCUUCUAAAUGUCAUCAUUGCUAACGGACUCGAUGAUUUCAUUGACGGAUCUCGACCCUGCCCUCCUCGAUUUCUCGAUCUGCAACAACAAACCCUCAAUCCAGAGUACUCAGCUUGGCAGAGAUACAAUCGACUUCUGAUGAGUUGGCUGUACGCAUCCUUGUCCAAAGAUAUAAUGGCUCAGAUUGUUGGGUAUUCAACAGCUAUGGAGAUUUGGAAUGCCCUUAAUCAGAUUUACUCUGCCUCUUCUAUGGCGCGGUUUACUGAGCUUCGCACCAAGCUUCAAACGCUCAAGAAAGAUGGACUCUCAGUUGGUGAAUAUAUUCAAAGGCUCAAAUCCAUUUGCAAUAGUCUUGCAGCAAUAGGAGAACCAGUUUCUGAGAAAGACCAUCUUAUCUAUUUGUUCAAUGGAUUAGAUUGUGAGUAUUAUUCUUUUGUUACCUCCAUUCAAAAUCGAUCUGACCAACCAACUAUUGACAAAAUCCAUAGCCUAUUGCUUAGCUAUGACUUCCGGCUUGAACAACAAAACUCUGUUUCUCUCCAUUCUGCCCAAGUCCAUAUGGCUCAUCUGAACAAGAAACCUUAUAAAUCAACUCCUCAACCUACAUUCAAUCAUAUUCACAUUCAACCUAGAUACUCUUCUCCACCUUUUAAGCCAACCACUAGUCAAUAUCAACCCAACAUUUUGGGCAAACCACAACCACAACCAUGACAGCCUCAACCUCAAUGGAAACCACAUUUUUCAAUCUAAAAUCAAAAGCCUCAGCGCCAAAUUUGUGGUAAAUUUGGACACACUGCUCUUAUUUGCUUCCAUCACACAAAUUUGAACUAUUCACCCCAACCUUCUCCUAAAUCUUUCAAUACUGUUCUCACCACAAAUUCCCAGCUCCCUAAUCCUCCAAAAUUUUCUUACCCUACAAUGGCUCAUCCUGCUGCUACGCAUAACACGGUUCCCGAUACAAAUUGGUACAUGGACUCAGGUGCUACACAUCACUUUACUCUGGACAUCAACGUGCUUGACACUGUGACACCAUUUAGUGGUUCAGAACAGGUGACAGUUGGGAAUGGUAAGCAACUCUGUAUCUCACAUCUUGGUACUGCAAAACUACCAUCUUCGUAUUCUCCUCCUGUUCUACAUCAGGUAUAUCACACUCCAAAAAUUUCAAAUAAUCUUAUUAGUGUUAAAAAAUUGUGUUCUGAUAAUAAAGUUUUUGUUGAAUUUUAUGCCACUCAUUUUCUUGUCAAGGAUCAGGUUUCGAAGAGAGUUCUCCUUUAGGGUCAACUUGAUAAUGGCUUAUACAAAGUUCAGUCGUCAUGCUCUCCUUCUGCUGUUUCCUUUCCUCCUCAAGUUUUCAUAGCCAACAUCAAGUAUCCAAAUCUGUGGCACAAGAGACUAGGCCACCCAGCUUUAUCUGUUGUUAAUCAAAUCUUGGAUUCUUGUAACAUUGCUCGAACACAGAAAAUUUGUUUUAAUUUUUUAAAUUCUUGUCAAUUAGCAAAGAGCCACAGGCUUCCUUUUUCUCUGUCUCCAUCCAUUGCAGAAAAACCUUUUGAGUUAAUUCAUACAGACCUAUGGGGUCUUUCGCUCGUUCGCUCUAUUUCUGGUGCUCUUUAUUUUUUACUUUUCAUUGAUGAUCAUACUCGUUUUACUUGGUUUUAUUUGCUCAAAACAAAAGAUGAAGCAUAUCCUACUUUUCUCAAGUUUCAAGCUCUCAUUGAAAAUCAAUUUAAUACCAAGAUUAAGGCUGUCCAAUCUGAUUGGGGAGGUGAGUUUCGAUCUCUCUCCAUACCGUUUUCAAAUAUGGGCAUUGUCUAUUGUUUAUCGUGUCCAUACACCUCACAACAGAAUGGGCGAGUUGAGCGAAAAAAUCGCCAUGCGAUUGUCCUUUCUUGCUUGCUCUAUGCCCUUAUCUUAUUGGCCUUAUGCCUUUCAAACUGCCACUUACCUUAUUAAUCGUCUCUCUACCCCUGUGCUGCAUCAUCAAUCCUCUUACUUCGCACUCUAUCACAAACUCCCAACUUAUACUCAUCUUAAGGUCUUUGGUUCCUCUUGUUUUCCGUAUUUGCACCCUUAUAAUACCCAUAAACUCCAAUACAGGUCACUAGAGUGUGCUUUUCUUGGUUACAGUUCACACCACAAAGGUUAUCUAUGUCUUGACAUUCAUUCUAGCAGGGUGUAUAUUUCUCGCCAUGUGAUUUUUAAUGAAGAUUCUUUUCCAUUCAAGAAUUUGAAAUCUUCUCUCUCUCAGUCUAUUUCUUCUUCCUCUUCUUUAUAAGUUCCUCUGUUCAUUCUCUUGCCUCCCCUUUCCCCAUCUCCUCUUAUUUCUUCAUCUAUACCUCAUUCUUUUCCCUCUUCUUCUUCUACCUCUAGUACUUGUUCCCCUCUCGUUGCUCCUACCUCUCUUCCUUCCUCUUCACACUCUGUGUCUCCAUCUAUUCCACCUCCUUCUCCACCUUCUCCGAGUGUGGACCUGCUUGCACCUUGUGUGAAUACAAAUUUACAUACUUCUUCUCGCACUCACAAUAUUCAUCCUAUGGUGACUAGAUCUAAGGUUUGUAUCUAUAAACCUAAGUUGUUGUUGAGUGUCUCCAUAGGUUCUCUCACUAAGCCUACUUCCUUUCUUCAAGCUAUUAAAGAUCCUUCAUGGAAGCAAUCCAUGGAAUUCGAGUUUGCUACCCUUCAACACAACAAGACCUGGCAUUUGGUUCCUUCACCUUCCUCAGGCGAAGUAAUCGGUUGUAAAUGGGUCUAUAAGCUAAAGCUUCAGCCUGAUGGCUAAAUUGAGAGAUACAGCCUGCUUAGUAGCUAAGGGUAUCAUCAAAUUGAAGUAUGGACUACUUCGAAACAUUCAGCCUGAUNNNNNNNNNNNNNNNNNNNNNNNNNNNNNNNNNNNNNNNNNNNNNNNNNNNNNNNNNNNNNNNNNNNNNNNNNNNNNNNNNNNNNNNNNNNNNNNNNNNNAGCUUCAGCCUGAUGGCUAAAUUGAGAGAUACAAGGCCUGCUUAGUAGCUAAGGGUUAUCAUCAAAUUGAAGGUAUUGACUACUUCGAAACAUUCAGCCUGAUUGUCAAGCUUUCUACUAUCUGUAUUGUGCUCAGUCUUACUUUUUCCCAGAAUUGGUGUAUUAGACAGCUGGAUGUUCAUAAUGCCUUCUUACAUGGUGACUUAGCUAAAGACGUUUUCAUGGAACAACUGCCUGGAUUUGUUGAUCCUCUCUAUCCUACUCAUGUCUGCAAGUUGGAUAAGUCUCUCUACUGUCUUAAAUAGUCACCUCGGGCUUGGUAUACUAAGCUGAGUACUUCUCGCUACACUUGGGAUUUGUUACUUCUAAGAAUGACUCUUCCUUAUUUAUUUGUCAUUCGUCUCAUGGGUUACUUCUUGUUCUUGUCUAUGUGGAUGAUAUAAUCGUCAUUGGGAGCCACUCUCCUCAGGUUACUCACCUUAUCCAACAGUUGCAUCAUUAGCUUUCUUUAAAGGAUCUUGGUCCUUUACAUUAUUUUCUGGGCUUGGAGGUUCAUCACACCCCUACUGGUAUUCACCUCAGCCAAGCAAAGUAUAUCACUGAUCUCCUUACCCGGGCGGCUAUGUUGGAUGCCAAGCCAUGUCCCACUCCUAUGUCCUCCAACACAUAUCUCUCUUUUCAUGAUGGAGUGGCUCUUGAAAAUGGUUCAGAUUAUCGAAGUUUUGUUGGUGCCCUUUAGUAUUGUACCAUGACACGCCCAGAUAUAGCUUUUGCAAUAAAUAAAGUGUGUCAAUUCAUGCACCAUCCCUCUAAUGUUCACUGGCAGGCUAUAAAACGUAUUCUCCGGUACUUAAAGGGCACAUCUCAUUUUGGUCUCUUCCUACAGCCUUCCUAUGACUUCAACAUCACUUGCUAUACAAAUGCCGACUGGGCUUCCUGUCCUGAUGACAAGUGUAGCACCAGUGGCUACUGCCUCUUUCUUGCCUCUAAUCUGGUUUCUUGGUCAUCUUCCAAACAAAAAGUGGUCUCCCGCUCCAGCGCCGAAUCAGAGUACCGAGGGGUAGCAAAUGGGGCUGCUGAAAUUGCUUGGACUGAAUCUCUUCUUUGUGAACUUUCCAUUACUCCCCCUCCCCUCAUUCUCUGUGACAAUAUCAGUGCCACGUACUUAGCUGCCAAUCCUAUUUUGCAUGCCCGCACCAAACAUGUGGAAAUCGACUAUCACUUUGUCACGGAACGUGUUCUUCAAUGCUCUCUUUUUGUCCAGUUUACACCUUCUGAUGAUCAACUUGCUGAUUGCAUGACCAAGCCUCUCUCCACCCAACGUUUCAUCACUCUACGCUCCAAGCUCACUGUUCUCACUAGACCAAUGAGCUUGAGGGGGGAUGUUAAGCCUAAAGAUGUAAUUAGUUAGGAUAUUCUUUUCCCUCUAGUCUUGUAGCUCCACGUGUACAGUUGGUUAGGACCUCAUUGUAUAUAAUGCCUGCCCUGUUAUUGUAGAAGACAACAGAGAUAAAUAAUAUUAACAUUUUUCCUCUCAUCUCUCUCUCUGUUUCCCUCUGUUUUCAUCUCCUCUCUCAUCUGAACCAAAUGAUCCAUGUUAACCUUGGCUUGGUUUGAUUUGGCUCUAUCUUAGAGAGCUCAAGGAUCACGUCAACUCUGGUUUCUACUAUUCAGGUCCAUUCCCAUAUGAACUGGUUCAAAUUUGAGAAAAUGGUAACAGACCUUUAGUGAUGUUGGUUUGGAGCCAGUUGCCAAACCCGCCCUGAGCUUUACCACUAAUGUCAAGGGAGAAAGCCAUUUGAACAAAAACAAUAGCUUCAAGGGACUGAAUCGUGGAUGAAAUCUGAUCCACAUUUCUUCUCAUUUUGGAAACAAAUGAGAACUUAACUAAGAAGAUUCUACGGCCUCAUAGUGCUUUUCCUGAUCUAAGGUUGGUUCGUUUCCCAAACUGUGAGAUGCACGUGCCAGACUUCAGAACUCUCACGCUCAGGAGUGUAUCCACGUGGUGGACAUAAGAUGGUGGCUUAAGAUCUGGUGUCGGUGGCUUUACUUUACUAGGAGAGUAGUGUGUCUUCAUCUCAUUCACUGCCGGAGGGUGGCGUAAGCAGUGACGCUAAGGUGGGGCACAGUCAAUAUCAUUUGCAUUUGACCAUUAUAGUUUUCUCCCGGCUUUAAAGUAACCUUAUCGUGAUAAAGGAUUACUAGCACUAGUUCAGAUGAUAGUCAUGUUAAAUUCGGACCAUGUUUGUGUCACAUUAUCAGCAACCAUGUGUUUAUGGUUCAUGCUUUCUGCAACUAAAAUUGAUAUAUAACCAGGUGAACUUCAAUCUAAAUUCUGAAAGUACUCAUGUGAUAGAUGGUGCCCGUCUGCAGAGUCCAUCAAUUGAAAAAUGGAGUGAGUGUAUCUAUAAGAGGGAAGGCUUGGAAAAUGUUCAGUUUUCUGGGAAUUCAACAAGGAUCUAAAAUAGAUUGUUUUCUUUGCUGAUUUCAAUGGUUGAAAUUUGAGAAGAUUGUGUCCACAUAACACAACUAUUACUGGUCCUUCUGUUGCAAUUUAUCCUCUAAAGCUCUAGCAUGUCUUCCAAUUCCCACUUCCCUGUUACUCCAGGAAAGCUAUUUCUGUCAUUGUGAAGAAGAAAAGAGAAUGUACAUAUCGAUGCUUUUAAGUGACUGGAGCAUUUAUAUCAGGUGGUCUGCAGCCAUAUAUGCCACUUUGUGAAGAUUGGAACAGUCAAUCACUAGGCUAUAUAUUAGUGUGGCCCAGCCACUUUAAUCAAGGACAAGUCUUCAUACUUAAAGUCAAAUUCUGCCUUUAGUCUCAUUAUAAAUUUCUGUUUAAAUAUUAAGCAAACAUUUGUUUAAUGCGAUUAAGACAGUACUAACUCAAUACCUGUUCUAUUUUUGGAUGCAAAUGCUUGAUGGUUUCAUCAUUGGAUGGGAUAAAGGUGCAUUCAUGAUUAGGAAUACUAGUAGUUAUAUUUUAAUUCUCUUUUUUCUCAAUGAGACUUGUUGGCACAAUUUUGCUGUUGAGAAACCUACCUCUCCAUGGAAAAUAAGUUGUGAUUGAUAGUACUGGAUAUAUUCAAGAAAUCUAAAUAUAGAUAGCACAAAAUAUUAUCGACAUAAAUAGCAUUAACAGCGUACGUAUGUCUCAGUGCUCAUCAGCUAUAAGCAUGGGGCAAACACUUACUAUGAGCAACUUACGUCAAAAUUCCAGAAUAGGACAUAGAAGUGACAGAUAUAGAACAUUGCAUAUGAGUCACAAGAAAGGAAAUUACGGGUGCAUAGCAGCUCUUAUUUUACAUACUACUACUCAUACUGAUCAAAGUCACUCAGUUGGGAUGGGUGGGAGUAGGAGGUUUGUGGGGUGGCUUGUGCGGAGGAGUUGGCAGCUUCUUUCCAGGACCUGGUUGCUUCUCUGCUGGAGUUGAAGGAGGCUUAAUCUUCCGAGGUGGCUUGUAUGAGUCUUCAGCAUUCUCAGCUGGAGGGUGACCAGGGUUGUGACCAUAAUGUGGUGGCUUCUCUCCCUUAGGUGGUUUGCCAACUGGGGUUGGUGGCUUGUAUGAGUCUUCAGCAUUCUCAGCAGGAGGGUGACCAGGGUUGUGACCAUAAUGUGGUGGCUUCUCUCCCUUAGGUGGUUUGCCAACUGGGGUUGGUGGCUUGUGUUCUGGGAGUGGCUUCUCCCCCUUGGGAGGUUUUUCCAAUGGGGUUGGUUUGUGUUCAGGAGGUGGCUUCUCCACUGGAGGCUUGUGUUCAGGAGGUGGCUUCUCCACCGGAGGCUUGUGUUCAGGUGGUGGCUUCUCCACCGGAGGCUUAUGCUCUGGUGGUGGCUUCUCGAAUGGGGGAUGCUUAGGAUAAUCAGCAAGUGAGGGGGCGGUGAGAACCACCAGGCCAAGCAACACCACUAGCAAAUAUGUAGGAGACAUCUUUGGGUUUGGGCUCAGAUGGUGCAAAACUAGGAGAAUUGGCUAGCCUUUUAUAGCGGAUCGUACCCAAUAAUGAAAUGACACGUGUCAUUAUGACCCAUGUGUAAUGGGGUCGAUUUGGGUCCUACAGUGUUGAAAACUUCGACAUCCACUUUUGGCCUUUUGCUUUCUCUACAGCCGCCUUGCUUUUUCCCUCUUUCCUUUUGUUUUCCUCCUGCCCCAUUCUAUCAACUAAACACAAUUAUGUAGUUGUUUAAUUCUUAAAUGAGAUAUUAUCCGUCAAUCGUAUUAUAUUUUAUCAAGAGAGAACGGAGUGCAAUGUGGCUGUAAUUUUAUCGUUUAGUUUUAUCUCUUGGACCACUGCAUUUUUGUUAAGAGGUGCAAUAAUACACGUCUUUAUCUGCCAUUCAAUAUUUACAGUAAAGAGAGGGCACAAAACUCUUCACUUCGCACCAUAAUUAUUUUGUUUUCUGGACACCCCGGGGCCCUUUGGUUGGUUUGGGGGUCAGAAAGUGAACAUCAUAGGGGGUUUUUCCCUUAUGUGCAUUUGUAUCUGAUGGCUUUAACUCGCCUUGUUACUACAAAGAAACUGUCACAGAUAGGAACUUAUUCCAGGCUGAGUAUCUCCUCAUAGACCCUAUAAAAGAAGACAAGUCAUAAUGAACAUCUAACCUUUGUUCAAUUUGAUUCAAUGCCCCCAUUGUGUCCAUCUCACAAAUCUGAAUUAUUAUAUCCAUUGAAUACAUAAAUUAAUGAAGAAAAUAUGAAACCCAAGAUACAUCUCUGCACAACCUCAACCCUGGUUGCUAUGUUUCCCUUCUAUUCACAUGAUUUGAUGCUAAUUGCCAAACUUGCAACAAGCCCUGAGUUUGACACCUAGUAUCGAUGGGCGAAUUUAAAGUCUCCUCCAAACAUAUAUUCCACAGCUUGAAGCUCACAGAAGAUGUUACAGGCAGGGAAAAACCUUCAGAGUUCGCUACCAAAGAUAAUUAUUAAGGAGAUAUCACAAAGAGAAUUCCAAGGGGUCUGAAUCAAAGACAAAUUGGUCGUUCGUGGGGGUUCUUACUUUCUUUUGGGUAUAACUCACUGAGGGCACUGUCUUUGUUAUUUGCAUUUCACAUUUAGAGUUCUGUUCUGGAAACAUAUAAAAGGAGCAUCAUUUUGUUCUUGGGUAACCCAUAGUCGUGAGUGGGUCCAUUUGCAUGCUACUUAGUUGAAAAGUUGGACCAUUUGCUCCGACGCCUACCUCCCGGAUUCCAUGCUCGGAUAAAACAAGAAUAAAAAAAAUAUUUAUAAUUUACAAAUGGGGGAAAGAAAAAAAUGUCAACAACAAACCAGGAAAAAAGAGUAGUAAAAUUCAUGUCACAUGCUAGUGAGAGAAGGGGUUGUUACACUCACUCGAAGUUCUUUCCAAAAUAUCGCAUGGUAUUUUAUUUUAUGUGUCAGCGCAGUUGUGAAUGGAACGUGCAAAAGUCCAAAUUGGCGUUUUUCCUUUUCCCGUGUAGGAUGGCGACCUUUAAUAAAUAUUUAAAACAAAAAACGAAAAAAAGGAGGGAAAAGGGAUCAGAAAAGAUAAAACAAUGUGUACAAGAGCUCAAUUAGUUUGCAAAUUACUGUUUGGAUUUUGAUAGUAUUUUAUUUGUCCAUCUAUAUUUGAUGGAAAAGAGAAUUUAAGAUAUUUCUGAAACAAAAGCAUUAGUGUAAAACUAAAUUAAGGUAUAAUUAAGUUAGUUCAAUGCAUUAAUUUAAGAAACUUGAUCUAUCCAAAGUACAAAAUUAGAUGAAAUCCAUUUCAAUGGUUAAAAUGAUCAAAAUCAAACUUUUUCUAAGUAUUUUUUAAAAGCAUCAAUAUUAAAAGACAAUUUUAUAUUUAGUCGGAGUUUGGACAAAACCAAAAAGCACACAAAAUCCAAGCGACCAUCUCUAGCUUGGAUAGUCACUUGAUCCCACCUAGAGAUGUGCAUGAGUAAAAGGAUUUGAAAAUGGAAAUUGACUAAAUAUUUAGUUGAUCAAUUAAAUUUGCAAUGUCAUAUGCAAUCCUAAUAGCUAGUCAUCUAAUCAAUUAGGUAGUCAAUCAAGUGUUUGUAAUGACUAUUUUGUACAAAAAACCACAUGUAUAGUUAAAUAUAAUGCAUUUCAUUUAUAAAUCUUCUAAUUCUUGAAUAACGAUCCUAUCAUCCUUUGAAAAUUUUUAUUACACCUUUUUUACUUUUGUUCUAAAACUUACAUAUCACCCUUAAUUGUACCAUGAGAACCUAGCUAUUUUUUUUUUUUUUGUAAUUCAUCAAAGUUAGCUUUUGUAUUCAUUGUUGUAUUAUUUUUAGUAUAACUUAGAAAGCUAGUGUUUUCAAGUGAGUAAAAUUAACUUGUAAAUAUUGUAAAGAUUCAUUGAUAUGUAUCUUAAACUAAGUGUACAAAUUAAAACAUUUGCUAGUAGAUUUUCUCAAAAUUUAGAAUAGAGCUUGAGGCUAUUGAAAUAGGUGGGGUUACACCAAACCACAUCACAUCGUUGUUUGCACCUUUUUUCACUCUCUUUUACUUAGUUUCUCUAUAUUUGUUGUCUAGUAAUAUCCUAUAGGCUUGAUGGGUUAGGGAGCAUCCCUUUGUGAAAAAAUUUCAUUCAAUUCUUAGUUGUAUUACGCAUAUAUAAAAUGCCUCAUUGUUUUAAUGGUAUUCAGUCGUGGCAUCACAGAUAUGGGCAUCUAAAUUUUAAAAGUUUGAAACUUUUGUAAAGCAUGUUGAUAAAAUCCAUGAGAGUUGUGUACUUGGGAAGCAACAUCGAGGUGACUUUAUUUUUUUUUCCUUUUAUAAUGCCACACCUAAGUCCGGUUUCUAAAUGCUAAAGUGAAAGGGUAGGUAUGGACCAUUGAAAUGUGAUCACAACUUUUGGCCUUUUCCUUUCUCUGCAGCCAUGUUGUCUCUUUUUUCUUUUGCAUGAUUUUCUUACCAAAACAGAAUCAUAGACUUGUUUAGUCUCUAAGCUACUAUAUUAUAUCUCGGUGGACUUUUAAGAGUGCAACCGACAUAGAGCACAUGCAAGUGGGCAUAUGGGACAUGAAAUUUCUUCUUACAAAGAUUGCAUGAUUUUUAUAUUAGAGUUGUUCACGUGCAAUGUAUUUAGCUUGUUUUGCAGUUAAAUUAAUUGGAUAAGUAAACAUUGGCAUUUCUAAAUCGACUGUGAAGUGCUUCAUGUACGUGUAAAGUAUUAGAAAUUUCUUUCUUGGCAACUUGUUUUUUCCUUGCCAUCUACUGGUAGGUUUGACUAAAAUUAUAUUCCCUGUCAUGCUAAUUAAUUUUCAUGUGCAUGCUCAAAAGAAGAGUAUGACCUUAGUGCACCAAAAUCACUUUGAUUAAUUUGUGAUAGGUUUUUUUGCAUCAUUUAGAUAAUGUUUAGUUCUAAGAAAAAUUUAUAUAAAAAUGGUUUAUUUAUCUUACAUAUAUAUAUAUAUAUAUAUAUUUUUUUUUUUUUCAUUUUUUUUUCUUCUAUUUUAUUUAUUUAUUUUAUUUUCCUUAUGUUUUCCUCACAUUUUCCGGAACUAAACAUAGUCUUACGAAAUCAACAAUUGCCUUCAACUGAGUAGAUUCUGUUGUUUUAGCAAUGUUAGGCUGCUAACUUGUGGUGGUACGAACCAAAUGACCCAUGUUAAUCUUGGCUUGGUUUGAUUUGGCUCUAUCUCAGAGAGCUAAAGGAUCACGUCAACUCUGGUUUCUACUAUUCAGGUCCAUUCCCAGAUGAACUGGUUCAAAUUUGAGAAAAUGGUAACAGACCUUUAGUGAUGUUGGUUUGGAGCCAGUUGCCAAACCCGCCCUGAGCUUUACCACUAAUGUCAAGGGAGAAAGCCAUUUGAACAAAAACAAUAGCUUCAAGAGACUGAAUCGUGGAUGAAAUCUGAUCCACAUUUCUUCUCAUUUUGGGAAAAAAUGAGAACUUAACUACAAAGAUUCUACUGCCUCAUUCAUAGUGCUUUUCCUGAUCCAAGGUUGGUUCGUUUCCCAAAUUGUGAGGUGCACGUGCCACUCUCACGCUCAGGAGUGUAUCCACGUGGUGGACAUCAGAUGGUGGCUUAAUAUCUGGUGUCGGUGGCUUUACUUUACUAGGAGAGUAGUGUGUCUUCAUCUCAUUCACUGCCGGAGGGUGGCGUAAGCAGUGACGCUAAGGUGGGGCACAGUCAAUAUCAUUUGCAUUUGACCAUUAUAGUUUUCUCCCGGCUUGAAAGUAACCUUAUCGUGAUAAAGGAUUACUAGCACUAGUUCAGAUGACCGUCAUGUUAAUUCGGACCAUGUUUGUGUCACAUUAUCAGCAACCAUGUGUUUAUGGUUCAUGCUAUCUGCAACUAAACUUGAUAUAUAACCAGGUGAACUUCAAUCAAAAUUCUGGAAGUACUCUUGUGAUAGAUGGUGCCUGUCUGCAGAGUCCAUCAAUUGAAAAAUGGAGUGAGUGUAUCUAUAAGAGGGAAGGCUUGGCAAAUGUUCAGUUUUCUGGGAAUUCAACAAGGAUCUAAAAUAGAUUGUUUUCUUUGCCGACUUCAAUGGUUGAAAUUUGAGAAGAUUGUGUCCACAUAUCACAACUAUUACUGGUCCUUCUGUUGCAAUUUAUCCUGUAAGGCUCUAACAUGUCUUCCAAUUCCCACUUCCCUGUUACUCCAGGAAAGCUAUUUCUGUCAUUGUGAAGAAGAAAAGAGAAUGUACAUAUCGAUGCUUUUAAGUGACUGGAGCAUUCAUAUCAGGUGGUCUGCAGCCAUAUAUGCCACUUUGUGAAGGUUGGAACAGUCAAUCACUAGGCUAUAUAUUGGUGUGGCCCAGCCACUUCAAUCAAGGACAAGUCUUCAUACUUAAAGUCAAAUUCUGCCUUUAGUCUCAUUAUAAAUUGCUGUUUAAAUAUUAAGCAAACUUUUGUUUAAUGCGAUUAAGACAGUACUAACUCAAUACUUGUUCUAUUUUUGGAUGCAAAUGCUUGAUGGUUUCAUCAUUGGAUGGGAUAAAGGUGCAUUCAUGAUUAUGAAUACUUGUAGUUAUAUUUUCAUUCUCUUUUUUCUCAAUGAGACUUGUUGGCACAAUGUUGCUGUUCAGAAACCUACCUCUCCAUGGAAAAUAAGUUGCGAUUGAUAGUACUGGAUAUGUUCAAGAAAGCUAAAUAUAGAUAGCACAAAAUAUUAUCGAUAUAAAUAGCAUUAACAGCGUACGUAUGUCUCAAUGCUCAUCAGCUAUAAGCAUGGGACAAACACUUACUAUGAGCAACUUACGUCAAAAUUCCAGAAUAGGACAUAGAAGUGACAGAUCUAUAUAUAUAGAACACUGCAUAUGAGUCACAAGAAAGGAAAUUACGGGUGCAUAGCAGCUCUUAUUUUACAUACUACUACUCAUACUGAUCAAAGUCACUCAGUUGGGAUGGGUGGGAGUAGGAGGUUUGUGGGGUGGCUUGUGCGGAGGAGUUGGCAGCUUCUUUCCAGGACCUGGUUGCUUCUCUGCUGGAGUUGAAGGAGGCUUAAUCUUCCGAGGUGGCUUGUAUGAGUCUUCAGCAUUCUCAGCUGGAGGGUGACCAGGGUUGUGACCAUAAUGUGGUGGCUUCUCUCCCUUAGGUGGUUUGCCAACUGGGGUUGGUGGCUUGUAUGAGUCUUCAGCAUUCUCAGCAGGAGGGUGACCAGGGUUGUGACCAUAAUGUGGUGGCUUCUCUCCCUUAGGUGGUUUGCCAACUGGGGUUGGUGGCUUGUGUUCUGGGAGUGGCUUCUCCCCCUUGGGAGGUUUUUCCAAUGGGGUUGGUUUGUGUUCAGGAGGUGGCUUCUCCACUGGAGGCUUGUGUUCAGGAGGUGGCUUCUCCACCGGUGGCUUGUGUUCAGGAGGUGGCUUCUCCACCGGAGGCUUAUGCUCUGGUGGUGGCUUCUCCACCGGAGGCUUAUGCUCUGGUGGUGGCUUCUUGAAUGGGGGAUGCUGAGGGUAAUCAGCAAGUGAGGGGGCGGUGAGAACCACCAGGCCAAGCAACACCACUAGCAAAUAUGUAGGAGACAUCUUUGGGUUUGGGCUCAGAUGGUGCAAAACUAGGAGAAUUGGCUAGCCUUUUAUAGCGGAUCGUACUCAAUAAUGAAAUGACACGUGUCAUUAUGACCCAUGUGUAAUGGGGUCGAUUUGGGUCCUACAGUGUUGAAAACUUCGACAUCCAGUUUUGGCCUUUUGCUUUCUCUACAGCCGCCUUGCUUUUUCCCUCUUUCCUUUUGUUUUCCUCCUGCCCCAUUCUAUCAACUAAACACAAUUAUGUAGUUGUUUAAUUCUUAAAUGAGAUAUUAUCGGUCAAUCGUAUUAUAUUUUAUCAAGAGAGAACGGAGUGCAAUGCAGCUGUAAUUUUAUCGUUUACUUUUAUCUCUUGGACCACUGCAUUUUUGUUAAGAGGUGCAAUAAUACACGUCUUUAUCUGCCAUUCAAUGUUUACAGUAAAGAGAGGGCACAAAACUCUUCACUGCUCUGCAUGUGUCCCAAAAAUGCGAUUGGACAAAUUAUGAUUUGCAUGCUAAAAAGAGGCAAAUGAGGUUAAUUCGCACCAUAAUUAUUUGGUUUUCUGGACACCAUAAAAAGAUGUUAUACAGGCAGGGAAAAACCUUCAGAGUUAGCUACCAAAGAUAAUUAUCAAGCAGAUAUCACCAAGAGAAUUCCAUAGAGUCUGAAUCAAAGACAGAUUGCUCGCUCGUGGGGGUUCUUACUUUCUUUUGGGUAUAACUCACUGAGGUCACUGUCUUUUUUAUUUGCAUUUCACAGUUAGAGUUCUGCUCUGGAAGGUUUGUUCUGGAAACAUAUAAAAGGAGCAUCAUUUUGUUCUUGGGUAACCCAUAGUCGUGAGUGGGUCCAUUUGCAUGCUACUUAGUUGAAAAGUUGGACAAUUUGCUCCGACGCCUACCUCCUGGAUUCCAUGCUCGGUAAAACAAGAAUAAAAAAAAAUAUAUAAUUUACAAAUGGGGGAAAGAAAAAAUGUCGGAAAAAAUAGUAAAAUUCAUGUCACAUGCUAGUGAGAGAAGGGGUUGUUACACUCACUCGAAGUUCUUUUCAAAAUAUCGAAUGGUAUUUUACUUUAUGUGUCAGCGCAGUUGUGAAUGGAACGUGCAAAAGUCCAAAUUGGCGUUUUUAUUUUUCCCAUGUAGGAUGGUGACCUUUAAUAAAUAUUUAAAACAAAAGACGAAAAAAAAAAGGAGGGAAAAGGGAUCACAAAAGAUAAAAUAAUGUUUACAAAAGCUCAAUUAGUUUGCAAAUUACUGUUUGGAUUUUGAUAGUAUUUUAUUUGUCGUUCUAUAUUUGAUGUAAAAGAGAAUUUAAGAUAUUUCCGAAGCAAAAGCAUUAGUUUGCUCUGUGAUGUCCCACAUCGAAUAGGGGAGAAAGUUUCUGGCGCUAUAUAUGUAGAGGCUCCUCUUAACCAAGUAGAUGCGUUUUAAAACCAUGAGGGCCCCCUUAGGUCCAAAGCGGACAAUAUCUACAUGAUUGGGUGUAAGUCAUUACAAAUGGUAUCAGAGCCGAUCCCCGACCCCGGUGUGGGGGUUUGUUUGGCCCUGUAAGGGGUGUUUGUCUGUUUGACCCCACAAUCCCAUGGGACACAACGAGGACGUUGUGUCUGCAUGGGGGGGCGUUUGUGAUGUCCCACAUCGGAUAGGGGAGAAAGUUCCUAGUGCUAUAUAUGUAGAUGUUUCUCUUAACCAAGUAGAUGCAUUUUAAAAUUGUGAGGGCCUCUUUGGGCCCAAAGCGGACAAUAUCUACAUGGUUGAGUGUAAGUCAUUACAUGCUCCAUGUCAAUUUCAGCAUUUCUCAUAUGUUUCACACAUACACAGAAGAGCAUCGUUUUUUAAAGCAUGCAUUUAUGUUGGAUUAAUUUGGAUUUUGUGGGAACUGGGGCAAGGAUCACAUGGAAGAGAGGUUGACUUUUUUCAGUACUUCAAUGGUUGAAAUAUGUGAAGGCUUGAUUGAUACUAAAGCUUGAAAUUGCGACUCUGUCAUUUGUAAAAAAAUAUGACAGCUUCCAUGCUCUCGUUUGGUUGCAUUGUCCGGUCGAGAGGUGCAAAAAGCAUUCUCUCUCUUCUAAUAGUCUUUUCGUUUAAAUCAAGGGAUUUGCCUUCCCGGUCGAGGUCCAAUAGAGGGUAACGGUCACCUACUAAACAUUAAAUGCUCCAACAACUAGUGAACUGAUCGACCCCAGCUCGACUAGUUGAGGUUACUUUUUGGUUUUCUUGUCUCCCGAGGUUAGAAACCUAUAAAUAGAGAGCUUCACUUCAUUUAUGAGUAAGAGAACACCUAAAUUUAUUUGUUUACCUACUUGUUUUUGCCAUAAAAGCUCUCAUUUCUUUUCUUGGUGUAUUAAAUCUCCAUUUGCAUAUCCUUUAGUGCACCUUUGUGAUUCAUUCUAGCCUUGAGUUGUAUUUAAGCCUUUGUUGAGCUAGGUUGAGAGUUUCAUACUUGUUUAUUGAGUGUUAAAGCCUUCAAGUGAGUUAAAACUUGAAGAGAUUGUGUAAGAGCCCAUUGGAGUCGGAAUCCAAGUGUAAAGGUGAUUAAAAGCUUGGUUGAAGCUUCAAGUUAGUGGAACUCUCACUCGGUUAUGAGCUUGAGAAGAGUGGACAUAGACAAGGCAGUGUCGAACCACUAUAAAAUCUGAGUUUGAUUUCUCUAACCUUAUCUCUUUAUAUUUGCUUCUCUUGUGCUUAAAUUUUUUGUGUUUAAAAAGAAUUUUUAAAAACUCAAUUCACCCCCUUCUUGGGAGUUUUUCUCUUUUAAGAUCAGCUUUUAUUUUCUCAAUUGGUAUCAGAACUAUGCCUCUUGUUUAAGACUUAAUCGUCUAAGAGGAAAUGGCUAAUCCAUCAAGUUCAUCUCACAUUGAAAGUUUUGCAACCAAUAGACUUCUUUUUUUUUUUUUGCGGGAACUGAUUAUCCCUAUUGGAAAACUAAAAUGACUUGGUUUUUACAAUCAAUUGAUUUAGAUGUAUGAGAUGCCAUUGAAGAUGACCUAACUUUUCCUUCAAAACUAGUUGAUGGAGUCAUGGUUCCAAAACCUAAGCAAGAAUGGGAUGAGCGUGAUUGAAGAAAUUUUCAAUUAAAUGCUAAAGUCGUUUAUACUUUGCAAUGCUCUAUGGACAGAAAUGAAUAUAAUAGAAUAUGUCAAUGCAAAUCGGUUAAAGAAAUUUGGAGAUUGCUUGAAAUAACUCAUAAAGGAACAAAUCAAGUUAAAGAGUCAAAAAUCAAUUUACUUGUUCAUAGAUAUGAAUUGUUUUUUAUGAAAGAUAAUGAAACUAUUGUUAAGAUGAUCACUAGGUUCACCAACAUUGUUAAUGGUCUUAAAGCCUUGGGAAAGACCUACAAGGAAUCCGAAAACGUGAUGAAGAUCUUGAGGUCACUUCCAUCAAAGUGGCAUACCAAGGUCACCGCAAUUUAAGAAGCAAAAGACUUGAUCAAGCUACCUUUGGAGGAGUUCAUAGGGUCAUUGAUGACAUAUGAAAUCAAUUUGGCAAAGAAGUAACAAAAAGGUGAAGACAAAAAGAAGAAGAACAUAACUCUCAAAGCUACAACUAAGGAAGAAGAAGUUGAAGAAGAAAAACAAAUUGAAGAAGAUGAAGAUUUAGCCCUCAUCACAAGAAAGUUCAACAAAUUCAUGAGGGGUGAAAGGUUUAGAAGAAGAAGGUUCACUUCUAGAAGAGACUUUUCUAAAAAGGAAUCUUCAUCUAAUGGUGACAAAAAGAGAUGGGAAGAGAAAAGAGACUUGGUGUGUUUCAAGUGCAAGAAACCGGGACACAUUAAAUAUGAUUGUCCUCUCUACAAAAGUGAAGUCAAGAGGAAAAAGAAUAAGGCAAUGAUGGCCACUUAGAGUGAAAGUGAAGAUGAAUCAUCCGAAGAAGAAAAUGAGAAAGAAGUGGCAAACAUGUGUUUCAUGGCAAUAGAUGAACUUGAUGAGGUAAAAUCUAACCUUAGUGAUUAAGAUAUACAUGAUGCAUUUGAAGAAUUGUAUGAGGAUUUUUAAAAACUUAGUUUGAAAAAUAUUUCUCUUAAAAAGAAAGUUCAACAACUUGACAAAGAACUUAGAGAAGUAAAAGAAAAAUUUUCAAAUGUUAAAGUUUCUAAAACUCAUCUUGAAAAAGAAAAUGAGAUUCUAAGAAAGAAAAAUGAAUAGUUGAACUCCUCUCUUUCAAUCUUUUCUUCUAGACAAAAAUCUUUUGAAAUGAUUCUAACUAGCUAAAAAUGUGUUUUUGACAAACAAGGGUUAAGAUUUAAAUCUUCAAAAAAUCAAAAGUAUUUUAAAAACUAUUUUGUAAAGGAAUCCACAAGUGCAAGUCCUUCCACUACUUGCAACUUUUGUGGAAGAGAAUGGCACAUUAGUAGUACGCCCUUUAAGAAAUGGUUCUCAAAAGAAUUUAAAUGCAAAAACUAAAAAAGAUUUGGAUUGAGAAAUCCAAGGUCACUAACCCUCAAGGACCCAAAAAGAUAUAGGUACCUAAAUCAACUUGAGUUUUAUGUUGUAAGGUUCAAAGAAUGAUAAGUGGUUCUUAGAUAAUGGUUGCUCAAGACACAUGACCGGAGAUGAAUCCAAGUUUGCUUUUCUUAAAAAGAAAAAUGGAGGAUAUGUUACCUUUGGAGACAAUGCAAAAGAAAGGAUGAUUGGUCAAGGCAACAUUGGUAAUGGCACAUCCUCUCUCAUUGAAAGUGUUUUAUUAGUAGAUGGUUUCAAACAUAACCUUUUAAGCAUUAGUCAAUUUUGCGACAAAGGUUUUUAAGUGAUUUUUUAAGCAUCUCAUUGCAUCAUCAAGGAUAUUCAAAAUGAUAAAACCAUUUUCAUGGGCCAUAGAUGUGAUAAUGUUUAUGCUAUAAAUAUUUCAAAAUAUGAUGGCCAUGAUAGAUGUUUUUCAAGCAUGCAUGAUCAAAGUUGGUUGUGCCAUAGGAGAUUGAGACAUGCUAACAUAGACCUCAUUUCCCAACUCAACAAAGAUGAACUUGUUAGAGGCCUUCCCAAAAUAAUUUUUUAAAAAGAUAAAGUUUGUGAAGCUUGUCAAGUGGGAAAGUAAAUCAAAAACUCUUUUAAAAACAAAAACUUCAUUUCCACAUCUAGGCCACUUGAGUUGUUGCAUAUGGAUUUAUUUGGUCCCUCUAGGACACCAAGUCUUAGAGGAAAUUCUUAUGCAUAUGCUAUUGUGGACGACUUCUCUAGAUACACAUGAGUCUUGUUUUUUAGUCAAAAGAAUAAAGUUUUUUAUGAGUUUUCAAAGUUUUGCAAUAAGAUUCAAAAUGAAAAAGGUUUUUCAAUUACUUAUAUAAGAAGUGAUCAUGGGAGAGAAUUCGAAAAUAUUGAUUUUGAAGAGUAUUGCAAUGAGCAUGGAAUUGACCACAAUUUUUUGGCUCUUAGAACUCCUCAACAAAAUGGGGUAGUUGAAAGGAAAAAUAGAACUCUUCAAAAAAUGACAAGAACCAUACUAAAUGAAAACAACUUACCAAAAUAUUUUUAGGCCAAAACGGUUAACACUUCUUGUUAUGUUUUAAAUAGAGUAUUAUUGAGGCUCAUACUUAAGAAAACUCCCUAUGAGCUUUGGAAAAACAAAAAACCCAACAUUAGUUAUUCCAAAGUCUUUGGAUGCAAUAUUUUAUAAUAAACACCAAAGACAAUCUUGGAAAAUUUGAUGCAAAAUUGGAUGUUGGAAUUUUCCUUGGUUACUCAACUUCAAGUAAAGCUUUUCGAGUUUUAACAAAAGAACCAUGGUUGUAGAGGAGUCCAUCCAUGUUAUUUUUUAUGAAUCUCCAAGAAAGAGAGAGGAUUGAUGAUGAUUUAGGUUUGAAGACCUCUAUAGGAAGAUUGCAAAUCGAAGAUAGAAGACAACAAGAAGAAAAUGGAGAGAAUCCAAAGAAAGAAGGAUCACCAUUGGCACUACCCCCUCAUCAACAAGCGCAAGGUGAAUCAAGUCAAGAGCUUCCUAAAGAAUGGAAGUUUGUCAUCAAUCACCCACAAGAUCAAAUUAUAGGCAAUCCAUCUAGUGGGGUAAGAACUAGAUCCUCUCUUAGAAAUAUUUGCAAUAAUCUAGCUUUUAUCUCUCAAAUUGAGCCUAAAAAUAUAAAUGAUGUUUUAGAUGAUGAAAAUUGGAUAAUUGCAAUGCAAGAAGAGUUAAAUCCAUUUGAAAGAAGUGGAGUAUGGGAAUUAGUACCAAGACCUUCAAAUCAAAGUGUUAUUGGAACUAGAUGGAUCUUUAGAAAUAAAAUGGAUGAAAAUAGCAUAAUUGUUAGAAAUAAAGCAAGAUUGGUAGCCCAAGGUUUUAAUCAAGAAGAAAUGAUAGAUUAUGAAGAAACCUUUGCCCCCGUAGCUAGGUUGGAAGCCAUUAGGAUGCUACUUGCCUUUGCAUGUUUUAAAGACUUUGUUUUAUAUCAAAUGGAUGUGAAAAGUGCUUUUUUAAAUGGUUUUAUAAAUGAAGAAGUAUAUGUUGAACAACCACCCGGUUUUCAAAGUUUCAACUUUCCUAACCAUGUUUUUAAACUUAAAAAGACACUUUAUGGUUUGAAACAAGCACCUAGAUCAUGGUAUGAAAAAUUGAGUAAAUUUCUUUUGAAAAAAAUGUUUUAAAAUGGGAAAAAUUGACACAACUCUUUUUAUAAAAACCAAAGAAAAUGAUAUGCUCUUAGUUCAAAUAUAUAUUGAUGAUAUCAUUUUUGGUGCUACUAAUGUCUCUCUUUAUGAAGAAUUUUCUAAGUGCAUGCAUAGUGAGUUUGAAAUGAGCAUGAUAGGAGAACUCAACUUCUUCCUUGGACUUCAAAUCAAGCAACUAAAGGAAUGAACCUUCAUCAAUCAAGCAAAGUAUAUAAGAGAUCUUCUCAAAAGGUUCAACAUGGAAGAAGCCAAAACAAUGAAGACUCUAAUGAGCUCAUCCAUUAAGCUUGAUAAGGAUGAGAAAGGUAAAUCCAUUGACUCUAUUAUGUAUAGAGGCAUGAUAGGUUCUUUGCUCUAUUUGACCACUAGUAGACCUUACAUUAUGUAUAGUGUGUGUUUGUGUACUAGAUUUCAAUCUUGUCUUAAAAAAUCUCACUUAAGUGUCGUGAAAAGAAUCCUCAAAUAUUUGAAAGGGACAAUGGACAUAGGCUUAUGGUAUCCUAAGAGUGAUAACUUUGAAUUAAUUGGUUUUUUGGAUGCUGAUUUUGUCAGUUGUAGGGUUGAAAAAUAAAACACUAGUGGCACUUUUCAUUUCUUAAGACACUUACUUGUCUCAUGGCAUAAUAAGAAGCAAAAUUUGGUAGCUUUGUCAACAGCAGAAGCUAAAUACAUAGCAACUGGUUUAUGUUGUGCACAAAUCCUUUGGAUGAAAUAAACACUUAGUGAUUUUGAUUUAUCUUUUGAGCAUAUUCCUAUUAAAUGUGAUAAUAGUAGUGCCAUAAGUAUAUCAAAAAAUCUCGUGCAACACUCUAGGACUAAGCAUAUAGAGAUUAGACAUAAUUUUCUUAGAUAUCAUACACAAAAGGAUGAUAUAACACUUGAAUUUGUAAGCAUAAAAGACCAACUUGCCGAUAUCUUUACAAAACCUCUAAGAACAUUUUGUUGAUAUUAGAGGACAAUUAGGAGUGAUUUCUUUAUGAUCUAAUGUGAUGAAUUCUUGAUGAAUAUACUUUUUGAUUGCAUGAAUUUCAUGUCAUAUAUGCAUCAUAUAGAAAUAUACUUAGAUAAUGGUCAAAUUUCGACCAAAAAUCAAAAUUCCCAUGGCAUUAGGCAUAAAAAUUUUGGAAUUUCAACUGAAAAUGGUAGGAGGAGGAUCACAAAAUGAGAAAGUAUGCAAAAAUUGAAAAAUCAAAACGUUGACCAAGCGGUCAAUCGGACUAGACCGAUCGACUAGUUUGUCGAGAUUUAGGAUUUUUAAGAGACUCCAACGCUUCAAUUUUUGCACCGUUCUCCUCUAUUUCUUCACGGUUUCUCUGAUUUUGUCUUUUAGAGACUAAUUUGAGUGCGUUUUGGAUCAAUUGAAGCAUUUUGGAUUGGAUUUUAGGAAGAUUGAAAGUUAAGGUUUCGGAUUUGGGUCGCCUUCUCUUCCUCUCGCGUGUCACAAUCAGCUUUAGCAUUGUUCUCUUUCCAUUUUCACACACCUAGGGUUUCAGUUGUGAGCAUCUCUCUCUCUUUACCAACCACUACUCCCUUGCUUCUUCCAUAUGGCUCCUAGGCGAGAGUCCGCUACUUCUAGGGCACAAGGCAAGCACCCAACUGAGUCGUCUCAGUCAAAGGCACGUCGAAAAGUGAGAUUUGACAUUGCCUUGUUCAGUUCCAUGGAGGACUACCAACUAUACAAGCAACACUUUGCUUAGAGACGAGUAGUUCCCAAGAGAAAUAUUAAUUUUCCUCAACUUCAGCAUUUCGAAUUUAAGGGUCUAUUUACUAGGAUGGUUGGUUGUCUAUUGUCACAAUUUCGGAGCCGGUUUUCCUGACCUUAGUGCGAGUUUUUUACUCGAGGGCGACUUAUGGCAUGGGUGGCAUGAUCAUUUCUACUGUUGGAGGAGUUGAGAUCUGUCUGGACCCAGAGAGCAUCUGCCAUAUUUUCGAUAUUGCUCUGGUUGGACUCAAAGUAUACAAGUCCAAAAUGUGGCCCAUUGUGCCAGGAUUUGAGCUUAGAGAGGUCAUUCAGAGGAUUUGUGAACUUCCAGACGCCCAGGAGAUGGGCAAACCAUUGCCACACAGUUUGACGGUCAUCAACAGGGUGCUACACCAUAUAUUGUGCUCUAUCUUUCUACCACGAAGUGGACAUUGAGAUGAGGUCUCUUAUUAUGAGGCAUUCCUUAUUGACUCCAUUCUAACGGAGAGACGAAUUCAUCUACUAUGUCAUCAUUCACUAAGCCUCCUCACAGUGACAUACCACCUCAUCAGGCACCUCUUGCUCCUGACCAUGCUCCAUUGAUGGAUUUAUUUACUCAUAUUAGCUCUCUAGGCACUCGCAUGAAGGAGUUUGUUGUAGUUAGUGAUACAUGGUUCUACUCCAUAGAGGAUCGCAUGGAUCAGUAUCAGACUGGCUUCACGUCACAGUUUGAGUAUCUCCAAUAGAGGAUUGAGCAUAUUGAGGAUCACUUGAGCAUGAGAAGAUGAUGGCUUUUCUAUGCUCUGUGUUUCCACCUCCACCUCGUCAACCUUGAUUUCUUAGAGACCCAUUGUUUUCAUUUUGUAAUGUUGCCAAAAGGGGGAGAUAUUUAGGAUCUAGGACUCUAUAGGAGACUUACAUGCAUAUCAUUUUCAUAUCAUUGUUUGGAUCGUACAUAUUGGAUAGUGAUACUUUUUACUUAUAUAUGAUAUGCCUAUAUGUUUCAUGUCUUACAUUGUUUCUUAUUGCAAAUUAUCUCUAACAUGUCUUGAUUAUCUUUUUUUUAACUUCAUAAAUUUUGAUUGUUAACCCAUGAUUGGUUUGAGGGGAAGAUUCUUCUUCUCCUAGAUAACCAAGGUUUGUCAUCAUAAAAAAAUUGGAGAUUGUUAGCCCAAGGGUUCUCCUAAUCAUGUUUUGAUGAUAACAAACCAUGCUUAAGUUACUAAUUGGUUUGAAUUAUAAAGAAUUUCAAGUGUUAAUUUGAAAAUUCAUCAAAGAACCUAAUGGAUGCAAGAUCAAGAUUUUUGGAAGACCUUUAAUCAUAAGAAACAUAUGUAAGAUGAAUGCAUGGGUGCACUUAAGAUUUGCAUAUCAUUUCAUGCAUAUUUGGAAAACACGGUUUAUGCUUUAAAGUUACAUUUCCAUCAAAAUUUGAGAUCCAUCAAAUGAACCUUAGGAAAAAUGUUUUAAAAUUGGCAUAUAAUUUUACCUAAAGACCUUGCCUAAGUGUUAGAAGCAAAAGGACAAAAAAAAUAUAGGUUUUCUGGUCAAAAAUGGUGAACCAGUCAAGGCAUUGUCUAAAUCAGCUCAAUCGGCCAAGGUACCGGUCGAUCGGUUUCCCUUUCCCUGUCGAGAUCUAGUCAAGAGGUACAAAAAUCACAAUCUCUGUCUCUUUCUCUCUUUGUCUAUCUUCCAGUAGUCUUUCCUUCCCGGUCGAGGGAUUUGCCUUCCCGAUUGAGGUCCGAUUGAGAGUAAUAGUCACUUGCCAAAUAUUAAAUGCUCCAACAGUUAGUGAACUGGUCGACCCCCACCUUGCCCAGUUGAGGUUACUUUUUGGUUUUCUUGGCUCCCGAUGUUAGAAACCUAUAAAUAGAGAGUUCCACUUCAUUUAUGAGCAAGAGAACACUUGCAUUUAUUUGUUUACCUACUUGUUCUUGCCUUAAAAGCUCUCAUUUCUUUUCUUGGUGCAUUAAAUCUCCAUUUUGAUAUCCUUUAGUGCACCUUUGUGAUUCAUCUUAGCCUUGAGUUGUAUUUGAGCCCUUUUUUUAGCUAGGUUGAGAGUUUCAUACUUGUUAAUUGAGUGUUAAAGCCUUCAAGUGAGUUGAAACUUGUAGAGAUUAUGUGAGAGUCGAUUGGAGCCGAAAUCCAAGUGUAAAGGUGAUUAGAAGCUUGGUUGAAGCUUCAAGUUAGUGGAAUCCUCACUCAAUUAGGAGCUUGAGGAGAGUGGACGUAGCCAAGGAAGUGUCGAACCACUAUAAAAUUUGAGUUUGAUUUCUCUAACAUUGUCUCUUUAUAUUUGUUUAUCUUGUGCUUAAAUUUAUUGUGUUUAAAAAGAAUUUUUAAAUACCCAAUUCACCCCCCUCUUGGGUGUUUUUCUCUUUUAAAAUUAGCCUUUAUUUUCUCACAAACUAUUGUAGUAUAGUGGUUUUUAGGUGUCAUCCAUUAGGAUGAAUUGUUCUCGGUAAUUAAGGCGUGAAUGAGAGGAGAAUUAAUGAUUGUGAUUAAGUAAAAUUGAUUUGAAAAUUCAUGGUGAAAAAUCAAUUUAACAAUGGUUUCUAAUUGAGAAAAACAAUGAAAUGUGAAAUAAAAUAAAAUUAAUAGGAAAUGAAAUUCUCGAAGUUAGAAUUUUCUAAAAAACAAAUUCCAUGGUGAAUGGAUGUUGAGAUCUAAUUUUCAUCAAGUUAGAUUGAAAACCGAAAUUUUCAUAUAAACUGAUUUUUUAUUUAGUUUUAGGUCUAGAUUUAAUUUCCCUUAAAAUUAGGUUAUUUAAUCCAAGAAAUCAAUUCAAAUCAUAUAUUCAAUUCAUCUUAAAUUAUCUUCCAAUUAUUCACACAAUGCAACUAUUCAAUCUCAUCAAAUCUAGCUUUUAAGAAUUUAAUGAAUCUACCUAGUUUGCAUUGUAAUAGUCAUCCAUGACAAUUUGAAGAGAAAAAUAAUUCAAUUAAUCAAUCACUUGGAUCAAAUUACCUUUGCAAUUAAAGUUCAUUUCUCUAAUUCACCACAGAUUUUGUCUCUAGAUCCUCCUUUCUCAAAGAAAAAUGAGAUUUAGCCACACAUGAUUGGAGAUUUGGUCUCAUAAGGCAUGUUUAGCUAGUGAUAAAAUGAGAGAAAAUAAAGAAAAAUAGAGAAUUCGAUUAAGAAAGAAAAUCUAAAAAAUUCUACAAUUAGAAAUGUCCAAAAAGCUUUUUCAUGAGAAAAUCAAGUUUCUAUUUAUAGGCCAAGGUCAAGUGGACACUUGACAUCAUCUAAGAGGUCUUCCGGAAGCUUCUUCAUCAAGAAAUCUGGAGUUUAAUAAUAAAAUGGUCAUUUCACAAGAGCUCAAACAAUUUCGCAUGAUUAUGUGAAAUAAAAAAUGCAACAACAGCAAUUUACAUCUUCUUGGAGCAUUUCGCAUGACUGUGUGAAAUUUUCACAUGAUCAUGUGGAAUCGACUUGACAACUCUCAUUUAGCCUACAACAUAAUUCCACCUUUUGGUCCAUUUUUCAUAGUCAUGCGAAAUGGAAAUAUUUGAUUUUUAAGUUUUCUUUUGUCAUUUCUUUCAUUUCCUUCUCUUGAUUCCACUUCAACUACCUCCGAAUCCUGGUCCAAACCAAUUGCAUUACUUCUUUCAUUAUGCAUUUGGAUCAUCAUCAACAUUAUUUGUUCUCUUCAAUUUGAUUCAUCUCUUUUGUCACCAAUUUAUCAAAAUCAUACCUUGAAAUGACUCCAAAACUUCAUAAAACUUGUUAGUAACUCUUGCAAGGGCAACAACAUAUUAAUUAAGUGUUUUAGGCAUAGUUACUACUCAAAAGAUGCGAAACUCAUGAUAAUUAUUAUAUAAAAUAUGCUCUUUUUGAGUAGUAAUCAACUUUCUUGCAUAAGCAGACCUUUUAGGGUGGAGUACUAAAGACCAAUAUGCUUGUCCUUGUUGUAAUAAAGAAACUUGCUCUUAUUGAUUGCACCAUGGGAGAAAAUUUUGCUACAUGAGUUAUCAUCAAUUUCUUCCCACCAAUCAUAGAUUUAGACGUGACAAGAGGCCUCUUAAUGGCAAGGAGGAACUGACACUCACACUUAUACAAUUAUCGGGCAUUGAUGUGUUGCAACAAUUAGAAUAACUUACACCAAUUAUGUUGGGGAAGUCACAAAAGGCAAACAUGAAAACUAAAAGGAAAAAAGAAAAAUGUUACAUAUCACCACAACUGGAAAGAAAAAAGUAUUUACUUUCAUUUGCCAUAUUGGAAAGCACUUAUUUUACAUCAUAAUAAUUUAGACAUAAUGCAUAUUGAGAAAAAUGUGUGACAAUAUAAUUGAGACAUUGUUCAGUAUUGACGAAGAAACAAGGACAACCUAAAUAGUCAUCUCGAUUUACAAGCUCUAACUAUUAGAAAUGAGAUUCACCCAAUAGAAAGCAGGACCAAAUUUAUUUUGCUUGCAACAUGCUACUCACUCACCCCAAAUGAGAUUAAGGAAUUUUGCAAGUUUUUGAAAUCAAUAAAGGUCCCCAAUGGCUAUUCUUUCAAUAUCUCUCGUUAUGUGCAACUCAAUGAAAGGAAGAUAUAUGAGCUCAAAUUGUAUGAUUGUCAUGUCCUAAUGCAACAACUUCUCUCACUUGUAGUUCGUGGAGUUCUACAUAAGAAUGUUUGUGGAGUUAUCAUAGAAUUGCGUAAUUUUUUCAAGCAAUUGUGCUCAAAGGUGUUAGAAACAAAUCACUUACACCAACUUGAGAACAAUAUUAUUGUCAUACUAUGUAAAAUGGAGCAAAUAUUUCUUCCAUCAUUCUUUGAUAUUAUGGUGCAUUUACUUGUGCAUCUAGUAAGGCAAAGGUUGCAAGACUUGUGCAAUAUUGUUGGAUGUACCUAAUUGAACGAUAUUGUUAUAAUUUCAUAUGAAUCAUUUAAUUUUAUUUUAUAUUAUGUUCAGUUCAUUAACAUGUACAUUGGUCUACAUAUGGAUGAUGAUAGGUACCUAAGCACUUUAAAGUCAUAUGUGCGUAAUAGAACUUUUCUAGAAGGUUCUAUUGUAGAAAGGUACCUUGCAAAAGAAUGUACAACAUUUUAUUCUAGGUACUUGAAUGAUGUGGAAAUAAAGUAUAAUCACAAUGAUAGAAACUUUGUUGGUUUCAACACUAGAGGAGAUGAAAGGGGUUAUCUUUAAACAUAUUGGACAUGCAUUGGGAAAGCCCAUAUUUCAUUAACUUAGUUCAAAAGAGUGGUCACAAGCACAUUUAUAUGUGUUGACAAAUUGCGAAGAUGUCAUACCAUUCAUUGAGUAAAAAAUUUAUUUGAAUUUUAAUUAAAGCUCUAGUUUAUAUCCUUAAUCAAUGUUUUUUAAAUUCACAAGGAGCACAAGCAAACCAUCAAGGCUAGACCACAUAUACGUGUUUGAGACGUAGAUUUAAUUCAUAACAAGGAAUUUAUCAAGUGGUUUGAAAGACAUGUAAGUAUAUUCCUUAUUAUAAGGGAUUUAUUUCACAUUAUGUUUAUAUUGAAUCCAAACCUAUUAUUGAAUUGUAGGUUGAACAAUUACAUAAUGAAGGUCAUAUAUCUGAACACCUUCUCACAUUAUCAUGUGUUCCAAAUUCAUUAGUUACAUGCUUCAAAUGAUAUAUUGUCAAUGGAUUUAGAUCCCACAUUAAAGAACGUGAUAAAAAAGUUUUUAAAAAAAGACUCAGAAUAAUGGAAUUGUUGUAGUUGCAAAAACGUCAAGCUUUACAAGUGCAUGUGAUAUGAGUCCAAUUAUUAGUGAUGCUCUCUACUAUGGUGUUCUAACUAAAGUUGUUGAGUUACAUUAUCUUGGUGAAAAUAAGGUUGUUUUAUUCGAGUUUGAUUGGUGGGAUGUUACAAAUAUUGGAAAAUUGAUAAAAGAUGAUGAGUACAAUUACACAUUUGUUAACUUUGCAUGAAUUCUAACCACGAACGAACGAUUUGUACUUGCAUCUCCAGCAAAGUAAGUGUUCUAUGUGAAGAAUGCGAAUGAAUCAGAUUGGCAUACUAUCAUGGAGAUGCAACCUCAAGACCUCUAUAAGAUGAACGGGAUAGGAUCCAAUGGUGAUUUUGAACCAUUUCAACAAAGUGAACUACAUGAUCACUAAUAUAUCUCAGAUUUAGUUGAUGAAGAUAUAAUCAAGUGGAACAAAAGUGAUGUUUUAGGACUAAUCAUCCUAAAAAAUAUUGUAGUUUCUUAAAAAAAAAAUGAAAAUGAAGAAGAUAAUUGAACCUUUGUCAUACUUUAAAAAGCAACUAUGCAUUGUUCAUUUUGUAUGUUUUGGUUUUCUUCAUUUAAUUUCCUGAUUUUUGUGAUUCAAUGUCAUAUUAUUGAUCUUGAAAUAUUUUUCUAAUUUUUCAUUCUACGAUGGUUUCAACAAGGAUGACAUCAAGUCAAAAAAGGAAAUGUGGUCCCACACACAAUAUUGCAUUACAGGGAUUAAGGUCAGGGAAGAAGGUAAAAGUUGCAUUUAAUGAGUACAAUCAAUUGGUUAAACAGAAAAAUGGAAAACACUUAUCGAGCUACAUAGGGACACUUGUAUCUAACCAACACAAUGUACCUCUCCAAGCUAGUGAUUGGAAAAAUGUUCCAAAUGAUGCAAAAGAGAAAGUAUGGCCUUUGUUUUGGUAUGUUGUAUUUCUCACUAUAUGAUGUCAUUUCACUGUUAUUCUAUUUUGUGACUAACGUUUGAAUCAUAUGUAAGAAAAAUUUGAAGUAGAUAAAGACUGAAAAGAUUACAUGUUGGGUAUAGCCUCAAAUAAAUAUAGAAGCUAUAAAAAUAUGAUGAAUGCAAAAUACUAUGACCCUUGGCAUAAGGAUGCAUGAGGAGAGGUUAAUACAUAAAUCACCAUUUGUCUCUGAUGUUGAUUGGAAGUGGCUUGUCUCUGAUGCAUAAACCAAAUCCCCCACUGAAUGUUUGAUAUUUGAUAGCAGGAAAAACACACCCGCAGCUAUACACCUCCAUCAUUCAGAUAAUUAUAGUGGGGGAGAUGAUUCAUGGUUGCCCUUAUACCCUUUAUUUGCACCAUCUAUUGAGAUUCUUUAUCAUGGCCAGGUUUUACUGCAGCAAUAAGAUAUGGUGGCAACAAUUUUAUCUAUAGGUGCGGUUCCAGACCGCCUCCAUAGGUGCGGUUCCUGACUGCCUCCAUAGGUGCCUCUUCUUGUAAUGUUUGUUCUGGGAAUUACACUUGAAAGCCUUAUCGUGAUAAGGGAUUACAAACACUAGUUCAGAGGACAGCCAUGUUAAACUUCCACUAUGUUUGUGUCACAUUAUCAGCAGCCUAGUGUUUAUUGGUCAUGCUAUCUGCAACUAAUAUAACCCGGUGAACUUCAAUCUAAAUUCUGAAAGUACUCAUGUGACAGAUGGUGCCUUUCAGCAGAUAUCAUCAAUUUAAAAGUAGUGUGUGUGCCUAUAGGUGGGAAGGCCUUGGCAAAUGUUCAGUAUUCCGGUAAUUCAAGAAGGAUAUAUCUAAAAUAGAUUUUCUUCUUGCCCAUUUCAAUAGUUAAAAUUUGAGAAGAUUGUGUCCACAUCACACAAAUAUUAUUGGUCCUUCUGUUGCAAUUUACCUCUGAACAUGUCUUCCAAUUCCCACGGUCCUGUUACUCCAGGAAAACUAUUUCGGUCAUAUUGAAAAAAAAAAUAUUAAAGAAGGUACACAUGCUUUUAAGUGGACUGGGGCAUUCAUAUCAGGUGGUCUGUAUCCACAUAUGCCACUUCGUGAAAGGUGGAACAGCCUAAUCACUAGGCUAUUUAGUGUGGCCCAGCCACGUUAAUCAAGCACAAGUCUUCAUACUUAAAGUCAAAUGGUGUCUUUAGUCUCAUUACACAUCGCUAUUUGAAGAUUAACUCAUCACUAGUGUAAUGCGAUUAAGACAGUCCUAACUCAAUAUUUGUUCUAGUUUUGGAUGCAAAUGCUUGCUGGUUUCAUCAUUGGAUGGGAUAAAGGUGCAAUCAGGACUAUGAAUACGUGCAGUAAUACUUCAUUCUCUUUUUUCUCAAUGAGACUUCUUGGCACAAUUUUGCUGCUCAGCAACCUACCUUUCCAUGGAAAAUCAGUUGUGACUGAUAGUAAUGGAUAUAUUCUAGAAAGCUAAACAUAGAUAGCAUUCAAUAUUAUCGAUAUAACAUUAACAGCGUAUGUCUCAAUGCUCAUCAGCUACAAGCAAUGGACAAACACUUUGAGUAACUCACAGCAGUCAAAAUUCCUAAACAGGACAGACGUGACAGAUCUAUAUAUAGAACACUGCAUAUGAGUCACAGGAAAAGAUAAUACGGGUACAUAGAAGCUCUUAUUUUACAUAUUACUCAUACUGAUCAAAGUCGCUCAGUUGGGAUGGAUGGGAGAAGGAGGUUUGAGGGGUGGCUUGUGCGGGGAAGUUGGCAGCUUCUUUCCGGGAGCUGGUUGCUUCUUUGCUGGAGUUGAAGGAGGCUUAAUCUUCCGAGGUGGCUUGUAUGAGUCUUCAGCAUUCUCAGCAGGAGGGUGACCAGGGUUGUGACCAUAAUGUGGUGGCUUCUCUCCCUUAGGUGGUUUGCCAACUGGGGUUGGUGGCUUGUUUUCUGGGAGUGGCUUCUCUCCCUUGGGUGGUUUGCCAACUGGGGUUGGUGGCUUGUGUUCUGGGAGUGGCUUCUCCCCCUUGGGAGGUUUUUCGAAUGGGGUGGGUUUGUGUCCUGGUGGUGGCUUCUCUCCCUUGGGAGGUUUACCAAUUGGGGUCGGUGGCUUGUGUUCUGGGAGGGGCUUCUCUCCCUGGGGAGGUUUAGUGGGUGGCUUGUGUUCUGGAGGUGGCUUCUCCACCGGAGGCUUAUGCUCUGGUGGUGGCUUCUCGAAGGGGGGAUGCUCAGGGUAAUCACCAAGUGAGGGGGUGGUGAGAACCACCAUGCCAAGCAACAACACUAGCAAGUAUGUAGUAGACAUCUUUGGGUUUGGACUCAGACAGUGCAAAACUACGAGAAAUCGCUAGCCCUUUAUAGCGGCUCGGACCUAAUACUGACAUAAUAUAAAAUAAAUAUUAUAUUUUAUCAAGAGAGAACAGAGUGUAAUUUUAUCAUUAAUACCGAUCGAGGCCAAAGAAAGAAGACCCAUAAUCCAUUUCCCACAAGCAUACACAAUGCAGCUGUAAUUUUAUCAUUUACUUUUAUCCCUUGGACCACUGCAUUUUUGUUGAGAGACACAAUAACACAUUUUUAUCUGUCAUUCAACAUUUACAGUAAAGAGAGGGCACAAAACGCAAUUAGAUAAAUUAUGUUUUGCCUGCUAAAAAGAGGCAAAUAACUUUAUUUGCAACAUAAUUAUUUUGGUUUCUAGUGACCCCGGGGCCUUUCGGUUGGUUUGGGAUCGGAAAAUGAACAUCAUAGGGGGGGUUGUGCCCUUAUGGGCAUAUAUAUCUGAUAGCUUCAACUGGCCUUGUUCCUAGAAAGAAAUUGCCAAAGAUAUAAACUUAUUCCAGGCUGAAAGUAGAUGAGAGUCAUAAUGAACAUCAACCUUUGUUCAGUUUGAUUCAAUGCCCCCAUAGUGUUCAUUUCACAGAUCUGAAUGAUUAUAUCCGUUGAAUACAUAAAUUAAUGAAGACAAAUAUGAAACCCAAGAUACAUCUCUGCAUAACAACCCCAACCCUGGUUGCUAUGUUUCCCUUCUUCUAUUCACAUGAGGAUACUGGUUAUAAUUGUCAAACUUGCAACAAGCCCUUUGACACCUAACGUCAAUGGACGAAUUAAAAGUCUCCUUCAAACGUCUAUUUCACAGCAUGAAGCUUAUAAAGGAUGCUGACAACCUUCAGAGUUAGCGACAAAAGAUAAUUAUCAAGGAGAGAUAGUUCCAUGAGAAUUCCAAGGAGUCUGAAUCAAAGACAAAUUGCUCACUCAAGGGUUCUUAUUUUCUUUUAGGUACAAAUCUCUUGAGUGUUGUUAAAGAAACACGUCACUGUCAUUUUGAUUUGCAUUUAACAUUUCACUUUUGUUCUGGAAGGUUUGUUCCGGAAACAUAUCAAAUGAGCAUCAUUUUCUUCUUCGGUGACACAUGGUCGCGAGUACGUGGGUCCAUUUUCAUGCCACUUAGUUGAAAAGUUGGAAAGAAAAAACAUGCCAACAAGAAGAUAGUGAGAGAAGGGGCACUUCAAGCCUUUAACAUGAACAAACAGUAAAUAAAAGAUGUUUCUCCACUCAUAAAAGUGUGUUAGAUAGCAAUAUAACGAAUCACAUCCAAAAUCUUUACUAGGCUCAAACAUAAAGAAGACUCAUUUUUAAGAAAAGAUAAAAAUGGCAUUGUCUGAUAGUAUCCAAUACACGAGAUGGCACUUAAUUUGUACAAGAUCUGUCAAUGCUGACGCACAUUUUCUGAUUAAAAAAAAACUGAUCAGUCAAAAGCAAUGAAGAGAAGUGAUGACAAUGAAUGAUGCUUCCAAUAUUUUCACCCCUUAUAGUGUUCUUCAUGAUUCAGAUAUAUAAUUGGAAAUAGAACAACCCUAUGCCAUACAUUCGUCUAAGUAUGGUGUCUAAUUUUUUGUGUCAGCGGUUGCGAAUGGAGCGUGCAAAAGUCCAAAUUGGCGUCUCUCCAUUUCCACAUAGGAAGGUGACCUUUAUUGACAAAUACCCAAUAUUUGUAGACAUUCCUUAAAUAUCAUAACUUCUUGUUGAUUUGAAAAUCAUUUUUCAACUACCAUGUUUUAAUAAAUAUUUUUUAAAAUGUAUUUUUAUCAAAGUCCACCAUGAUGGAUAAUAUUCACCAUGCAAUAAUUAAUAAAGUACAAACUAAGCGAAAUGAAAAGCAUUUUCUUUGCUUUGAGUUGAUUUUGGUUGCAUUGAGUUGAUUUUGGUUUCAUGGUUUUUUCAACUCUUAUUUUGAUUGGAAGAUGUCAAGAAAAGAAAACAUAAAGAAAAAUUAAAAGGGAAAAAAGAAGAAAAAUAAAAAAAAAUAGAUUUAAAAGUUAAUAAAUUAUUUUUUAUAUUUAUUUUAAUUCAUUUCACUUAUUUUUCUUUUACUAUAUAAAAUUUAAAUAAUUUAAAUUUUAUAAUUAAUUUAAUUACAUUUCAUUUUCUUCUAUAUUUAAAUAUUGGAAAAAUAUUUUACUUAAUAUUUUUUUCUUUAAUUUCUUUGGCAUUUUGGGAACCAAACUUAGCCUUUAAAAUAAAAAACAAAAAAAAAAUGAAAAUAAGGAGGGAAAAGUGAGAAAAGAUAAAAACAAUAUGUAAAGGAUUUGAAAAGUAUUAGUUUGUAAUUACUAUUUGGAUUUCAAUAGUAUUUUAUUUGUCUUUCUAUAUUUCAUGUAAGAGAGAAUUUAAGAUAUUCCCCAAGGCAAAGCAUUAGUUACCUGCAAUCAGUGGUGAUAAGGCUCCAAGCCAAUUUUGGGCCCCAUAUCUUAAGACAGUACAAUUUCCAUUUCAACAUUUCUGAUUUCUCAGAUGUUUCACAUACCACAGAAGAACAUUGUUUGUGAAAAUAUGCAUUUAUGUUGGAUUUUGUAUGCUGUGGGGACUGGGGCAAGGAUCAUAUGGAAGAGUGGUUGACUUUUUCUGUACUUUAACGGUUGAAAUAGGAUAAGCACGGGCAUUUGUGAGGCUUAAUUGAUUUUGAAGCCUGAAAUUGCGUUUCUGUCAUUUUGUCAAAAAAAUGGCAGAUUCCAUACUCAUAUGUUUGGCCUGUGGCCAUGUACAGAUGCCAUUUAGUGACCAGUUUGUAACUGUCAAUCGUUGCGUUUUGACUCUGCCUCAACAACAUCUGCCAUUGACGGGUUUUCAUACUUGCAAAUCAAAUAGUCUUUCGUCCCAUCAGGAAUUUCGGUUUAAAUAUUAUUAAGCAUACGUUUGGCUGACAAUCAUUAUCCAGUUCAUGAUUUGGUUUCUUACCCUUAAUCAAUGGUUUCUAAGUGAAUAUAUGUAGAAGGAAAUCCGAAGUGUAGACAGUAGUAUCGAUAACUCUCAAUAUUCUCUAUAUAAUAGAAUAAACAGCGUCAUAGUGAUCGUCGCCUACAAGCAAGGUACAAAUACCAAAACGAGUGACUCACAUAGACAUCUCCCAACAAGAUGUAGUAGUGACUGACACAUGGACACAAUUAACUCGUAGAAAAGGAUAAGACCAUUGCACAGCAGCUCUUAUUUUACAUACUACUUAUGCUAACCAAAGUCAAUUAGUUGGGAUGGGUGGGAGAUGGAGGUUUGUGCGGUGGCUUGUGGGGCGGAGUUGAUGGCUUCUUUCCAGGAGCUUCUGGCUUUUUCAUCGGAGCUGAAGGAGGCUCAAUCUUAUGAGGCGGCUUGUAUGAGUCUUCUUUACUCUCGACAGGAGGGUGGCCAGGGUUGUGAUCAUAAUGUGGUGGCUUCUCUCCCUUAGGUGGCUUGCCAACUGGGGUUGGUGGCUUGUGUUCAGGAAGUGGUUUCUCUCCCAUGGGAGGUUUAGCAAUUGGGGUUGGUGGCUUGUGUUCUGGGAGUGGCUUCUCUCCCUUGGGAGGUUUAGUAGGUGACUUGUGUUCUGGAGGUGGCUUCUCCACCGGAGGCUUGUGCUCCGGUGGUGGCUUCUUGGUUGGAGGGGGCUUGGGGUAAUCAGCAAGAGAUGGGGUGGUGAGAACCACCAGUCCAAGGAACAACACUAGCAAGUAUGUGGGAGACAUUUUUGAGUUUGGGCUGAUCAGAUGAUGCAAAACUAAAGCAUUACGUGACCUUUUAUAGCAUGUAGCUCCCAAUACCCACUAAGUAUUGUGGGGUCCAUUUGUGCCCUACGGGGUUGAAAACUUAGACAAUUGGGCAAGGACCCACCUGACUAUGGAGGACUAGUGAGGUGUGAUCAUAGCUUUAGGAUUUUUCUUCCUCUGCAGCCGUCGUGCCGUUGGCAUGAUUUUCUUAAUCUUAAAUAAAGGCAUAGUUAUAGAGUUGUUUAAUCUCUAAAUGGGAUUUUAUAUAUAUCUUCAGAUAGCCAUUAAUAUAUUUGAUGAAGAAAGAAAGACAAGUGCAUACAACAUGUAUACGACUAGCUUUCAUGGAGUUCAUUUAUGAUCAGUUUUCCUGUACAUGUAAACCAGGAUCAUAUAUAUGUUUCUGUUCCACAACUAUUUUGGAAUCUUGUUUAUCAGUUUUUAUCAUUAUAAUGUCACAUAGGCUGCCAACUUGGGCGCUAAAAGAACCAGUUGGGCUAGUUCGUUUCAGAAUUUCAAUGUGGAUUCAGGAAUUGUUUUGUAAGAUAUGCGAAAUAGUAGAGGGAUGAAUAGUGUUUCAUUAAUAAAAGUGUCCUGUAAAUUAGAAGGUGUCAUAGAAACUAUAAUCAAUAAAUAACUUUUUUUCCCCACGGGUGGUGUUUCUUGUGGGGAUCAGUGACUGGUUUAGGUUCACCCAAAAUGAGUUCAGACUAAAAUUGGUUUGAGUCAAUGCCGUGUCUCUUUUUUCCAGAAAUCAACUAUUUUAUGCAUUGAAUAAAUCAUACAAAGAAAAUAUGAACGCCCGCAAAACCUAAACCCUGGUUGCUAACUUUCUAUGUUUCAGUUCUAUUCACGCAAGAAUAUUAGUUUAAGUUUGGGAAAAAUGGCAACUUACCUAGUGAUUACUUGGUUUUGGUUUGCGACUAUUUACGCAACCAACCAUGAGUUUGACUUUAACGUCAUGGGUUGAAGCCUCCUACAGGAAGGGAGAAAGCUCCACAGCUAGCUCCAAAAGAGAAUUAUCACAUUGAUAGCUCCAGAGAUUCCCAAGGGGACUGAAUCAAAGACAAGUUCCUCACUUUUUCUUCUUUUGAGGCCAAAUAUGAACCAAGGAUCACACAACCUCAUUCAACUUCAUAAGUUUGAUUUCAUGCAGUUGAACACUGGGUGAAGGCCAUGACAAGAAUUGAUUCAAAAAUUCUAUCACUCUUUUAAGUAAUGGAAGAUUAUUAUCUCUGAUUGGCAUCACAACAGCACAUGCUCCUAGAUCUUUCUAGACACUCCAUGCAAUGAAAGCACAAUGGAUCUUGUAACGAUAGAAACUAAGCCAUGCUACAGUACUAGAUGAUGAGGUAAAACUAGUAGACACGGGUGGCAGCCUAUAUGGGAGGGACACAAGUCUAAUUGAUUUGCAUUUCAGCAUUAUAGAUAGGUAUGUUUUGGAAGAUUUGUUCUGGAAAUACCGCACCAAGUAGGAUUCUUUUUCUCUUUAGUGGGUCCACUUGCAUGCCAAUUAACGAGUUGAAAAGUAUGAGCACCUACCUCGUGCUCGUGGAACCGAAGGUCAGUGAAGUGGGGCUCCUUUUGGCCUCGUGUAAACUUGAUUCAGAAGUGAAGUUAAUAGUCUUCCAUUCAGAUGGAUACAUGGGAAUUUUUCUCUUUUAUUUAUUUAUUUAUUUUUUUUUUGUGUGUGUAUGUCAAAGGAUAAUGAAUGAAGCGCGUUAGCUUGUUUUCUGACUGGAACCGCAGAUGUCCAAAUUGGAGUUCCUUCAUUUCUUACUUAGGAUUGUUACAUGUAUAAACAAGGUAUAAGAAAUAUGCCAACGUGUCUUGAGGAGUUAUUGAUUAGAAAUAACAAGUCACCCGACUGUAGAGUUCCAAGAUUUGAAUCUUCAGACCCUAUAGCAGCCUCUGGGGUACGUGGCAUCCUAUAGCAUAUUAAUGAAGGCUUUUUCGAUUUAGACUUCACAAUACCAAUUAAUAUGUAUGCACAAAAUGGAGAUGACCCCAAAAAAAACAGAAUCGCCAUAGUUUAUGAGGUUAAGGUGAUUCUCCACUUAAUAUCUACAUUAGCUAAUUAUGUAAAUCAAAUGAACUUCUAUUUUUCCUUUUUUUUUUUGGUUUAUGUCAAAUAGUAGCCCAUAAUUAACCCAACCAUUAGCCUGUUUGAAUUGAUUUCACAUGCACAAUGUUGUAGUAGUUCAUAUUUUGAAUUUUAUUUUUACAAAGGUAGUUAAGGAAAAUGAAGUAUAAUAAUUAUAAAAGCAGACUAUAUACACUACAAUAAUUGUUAGAAUGGUAUCUCAAAUUCUAAUUUAAAAUAUUAUUUUUUGUAAAAGAAAUAUUAUAUAGAAUAUUUCCUAAUUUUAUAAAUGAUUAUAAUUAGAUCUUUAUAAAAUAAGGAAAGUUGGUAAGAAUAUCUUUAUAAAUAUUUUAGGUCAUGAGAGAAAGAAAUGGGAUAAAAAUGUGAUGAAGAGGUGAAAUAAGAGAGUUGAUUAGGAUAUAGAUGUGAAGAAGAAAGGGAUUCAAUAUAUAUAUAUCUUUCAAUUACCACAUUAAAACCCUGUGAACCUUUUAUAUGGUUUACUUUAUUUUUAUAUUCCUCCUUUAAUAUAUUUACAUUAAUGCUUCCAUUGGCACAACAAUAACGAAUUACAAAUACAAGCAACAAGUCCCAUGUUUUAUUACCAAAAGCAGGUAAAAUCCACCUAAUAUAUUACAAUAUAUUCAUCCAAUAUUUUAGACCAAUUCUUCACCAUAAAUAUCAUAAUGUGGCUUUUGUUCUUUCUUAAAUUUAAAUUGAAUUGUCUUAUAUCAAUUUGUUUGUGAUUUUUUCAUUAACUUCACUUUCAUUUGGUUAUCUUUGGUUUUUGAAAAGUAUUAAGGAAUUAAUUAACAAAAUAAUGUUAAGAAAAAUAAUUUUCUCUCUUUUGAUUUUGAUUUUGUAGUAGAAAAAUAUAAUUAAAAUUAUUUAAAAAGUAUGUAAUUUUAAAUUAUUUAAUAUUUAGAUAAAAAAAAUAAGUCUAAUGAGUUUAAAAUAACAUAUAAAAAUAAUUUAUUUAUUUUAAAUUUAUUUUUUAUUUUCCAUUAUGUUCUCUUUCUCUUUUACUUUUUCAUAUUUUUUCUUACGAAGAAUCAAACACAACCUCAUAUUAUAUGUCAAGUGUUUGUCUAUAUUUGAGCAAUGUUAGAUACGGCCAUGGAUUCAUCAAACUAAACUGAUUUUAAUAGAUACUUCACAAAUUGAUUUAUACACUAAAUCAUUGGAUAGCAAUGAUGCAUUGGAAUUAAACGUAGGAUGAAGCUCGAAGAACACUGUUUGUGUAACAACAUAUUUAUGAAAUUAUGCAAAGGAUGAGCUUCGGGGUAGUAGUACAAGGUCAUUAAUGGAGAGCCGUGUUAAACCUUGAUUGUGAUUGGAUUCCGUUAUCAGCAACAGCAACCUUGUUUGUAACCUUGAAAGUCAUUCUGUCCACAUCGAAACUCCAAUUUGACGUUUGUAAUUACCAUUCCUGGAGUGUUCCUUGAUUGAAAUUUAAAUAAUAAUUGCGGCCCACAAGGAAUAUUUUCGAUUCUGUGGGAAUUUGACAAGGUUUGUUAGAGAAGACUGGUGACAUGUUGACUUCAAUGGUUCAAAUAGGAGACGUAUGUGGAUUUGGGGGGUUUAAUUGAAACUGAGUCCCUAUGGCUUUUUAAUAUUUGCAUUGAGCAGUCUCCAUGUGACUUCCUAAUUCCCACCAACCCUCCUGUCCAUGCUGUGAAACUAAAUUGUAAUUUAUCAGCCUUUGUCAAUGGUUUCUAAAUUAAAGAUAUAGACCAUGCAUGUACUUUAAUAAAAGCAAAUCUAAAGUGUAGAUAGCAGCAAUGGUGACACCCAAUAUUCUCCAUAAAAUAGAAUUAGAAUAAGCAGUGUUACAUUGUUCAUGAUCACCUACAAGCAUACAAGAACUUCCAUGAAUAACUCAUAGCAAUUGCCAACAGGGCGUCGUAGAGACUCAUACAUAGAACACUAUCCACCCAGAGGAAAGGACAAGACCAGUGCGCUGCAGCUCUUAUUUUUCACAUGUAUACCACCACUCGUAAUAACCAAAUUCACUCAGUUGGGAUAGGUGGGAGAUGGUGGUUUGUGGGGUGGCUUGUGGGGAGGAGUUGGAGGAGGCUUUAUUUUCUGAGGCGGCUUGUAUGAGUGUGCAGGAGGAUGCCCGGGAGUGUGACCAUAAUGUGGUGGCUUCUCUCCCGUAGGUGGUUUGCCAAAUGGGCUUGGUGGCUUCUCUCCCUUAGGAGGUUUACCAAUUGGGGUUGGUGGCUUGUGUUCUGGGAGUGGUUUCUCUCCCUUGGUAGGUUUGCCAAUUGGGGUUGGCGGCUUAUGUUCUGGGAGUGGCUUCUCUCCCUUGGGAGGUUUGCUAAUUGGGGUUGGCGGCUUAUGUUCUGGGGGCGGCUUCUCUCCCUUGGGAGGUUUGCCAAUUGGAGUUGGCGGCUUAUGUUCUGGGAGUGGCUUUUCUCCCUUGGGAGGCUUGCCAAUUGGGGUUGGCGGCUUAUGUUCUGGGGGUGGCUUCUCUCCUUUAGGAGGUUUGCCAAUUGGAGUCGGCGGCUUAUGUUCUGGAAGUGGCUUUUUUCCCUUGGGAGGUUUGCCAAUUGGGGUUGGCGGCUUAUGUUCUGGGGGUGGCUUCUCUCCCUUGGGAGGUUUGCCAAUUGGAGUCGGCGGCUUAUGUUCUGGGAGUGGCUUCUCUCCCUUGGGAGGUUUUGUUGGUGGCUUGUGUUCUGGAGAUGGCUUCUCCCCUGGAGGCUUGUGCUCCGGAGGUGGCUUCUGAAAUGGCGGGGGCUUGGGGUAAUGAGCAAGAGAUGGAGUACUGGUGAGAACCACCAUUCCAAGCAACAAUACUAGCAA
rnacentral:lncRNA from 1 species